GUCAACCAAACCUUUCCUUUCUAUAUAAAGGUGGCUUGGCCUCCUACAUAUUAGCCAAAGCAAGAAAACCAACAAAACCUAUAAACAGCUACUUGUCUUUGUGUGUUGAUUAAUUGUAGUUAACAUGGCACGUCAGGCAGAUCGUCUUGUUAAGAUUGGGCAGGAGGGUUUUGCAACCAUUGAUGAGCACUUCGGCCGGGCCAAGAGGCGGCCACCAGUUAUGAAGGUUCCCUAUGCUCAUCCCACAUAUUACGAUGUUCCUGCAACAGAAGUUAUCAACAGCAACGAGGCAGCUCAACGCUACAAGGGGAGGGUUUAUGUCGAUUACCCUAAGGGUAAACCAGUUCCGUUUUAAAGACCUAUUGAUUAAUCACUUAGCUUUCUUGUAUGCAUAACCUCCUCCAGUUGUGUUACCUUUAGUCCUGUACGAUAUUCUCCCUCUGCUAAACGUAGACGAGGAGAGGUUGCUAGAACUCGAGUCAGGAGCUUCUUCUUACUUCUUCAAAUAAACUUUCUGUGAUUUAUAUAUCAUUUUCUAUUUGUAUGUAUUGUCAUAAUUAUCUUUCUUACUUCCUCAUUAUCACCUCUUACUUAGCAUGGAAUUGAAAGAUACAAUAUGCUCUUGAAAUGCUUUGAAGCUCUUCAAGGUGUGAUUUCACCGACUAAGUUUGGAACUGUACAGAGCUCAAUGAUGAGCCGUGGGAGGCGUCUCUGAUUGUUGCACUGUAAGCAUGAGUGUACGUAUGAAUAUAACCAGCAGAUCCGCAAACCACAAGUGAUGACAAGCUUCUUAACACUGCUGCAUUUAACAGUUUUACCAACAAAAUGUUUUGUCGGUAUUUACUCUACCAUUCCGUCAGCAUGAAUUUUAUCGACUGAUUUACGGACGGAAACAGUCCAUUGGUAAAUUCCUCUUGUCAGUAAUUUCAUUAAUGUCGGUACAAAAAAACCCGAUGGUUUUACAAAUAGAAAAUGCAAGCCAAUUUUUUUUCCACUGGAAUAUACAGACGGAAUUAUUUCUUCGGUGAUUGACAGUGGCAUAUGGAGUAAUUUUAUUCCAAACCCUCUAUAAAAUACCGAAGGAAUUAUUCCAUCGGUGAUGUAACAGUUGAAAUGGCAUAUGCAGUAAUUAUUUUUCAACUCUCUGGAAUAUAACGACCAACAAAGUUUGUCGGUAACUUCGUCCGUAAUAAUUAAAAAAUAUAUAUAUUUUUAAAAAUUAUUUAUUGAACAAAAAAAGAAAAUAAUAAAAAAUAUAAAAUUGUAUAAAAUUCAAGUAUGUAAAAAUAAAUUACCUUAGUAUAAAAGCCAAAUAUUCAUUACAAAUUUAUAUGUUCAAAUAAAAUUAAACUAGAAAAAUGGCGGCGUUGGAGGAGGCUGAUCGUUCCCGGGACCAUAUGGCCAAAAAGAGUGUCGCACGUGACCCGCGCGGCGUCCGAUGGUGAUUUUUUCGUUAUGCGUUUGCUUGAUUGGUUCGUUGGGAGUCGCCACCUAGUAUUUAAUUGAGGGCAACUAGGAAACCCGGGUGUACUGGUCUUGUCAGAGAUUCACGGGUAAGGGACUGGUUGUGGUUAGGGAAGGUAUUUGCACCCCUAACGCACCCUACCUGAGGUAAGCUGCUUCGUGGCUUUGAUGUGAUAAAGAAGUUUUAAAAAUUUUGUUCUUUCAUCGGGUAUUAGAAAUACGACUUACAUGUAAGUUCAUAAUUCUUGACCGUGAUCAAAUCAAAAUAUUAAAUUCUUCUUUAUUCUUUGCAAUUUUAUCAUAAAAAAAUACAUUUAUAAAAAAAAAACUACAAACAAACACAUUCACUUUCACUAUAUUUUUUCUUUUUUUUCUUUUUCACAUCUAUAUUACAAAAAUUCAAAACUAAACAAAAAUUACAUUAAAUAAUUUGAAAUUACAAAAAUAGCCCAAAAACAAGUCCAUAACAGUGCUAGGAAGCUUUCUGGAACUGCAUGCAGUGCUGAAGAAGGUUCCUGAACAGUUGAACAGUGCGCAACCGCCACUAGCGUCGCGUGGGCUCACGCGCCGCCGCGAGAAAUUCCAGGCAGUAGGGGGCGCUGCUGUGGCUUCCUCCCCUCUUCACUUCCCUACCGGCGGUUAGGGUCUUCAUCAACUGCAAAAGAAUAAAACACCCAAACCAGUUGAUUUUAAUUUUUCUUUCUUUUUCAGAUUUAUUUCGGUCUUCUCCUUUUCAUAUCUGCUUCACCGCAGAUCUUUCUUUGGUUUACAUCUUCUUCUCCUUCGCUUCAGGUGGCCGGCAGUUGGGUGGCGACGACACUGGAUUCAGGUUGUUGCUUUGGCCGCUGCAAUUGGUGGCUGAAGGAAAUGGCGUGGAUCUGUGGGCUGCCGUGUGCUGGCUGUUGUGGCUGACGGUGUGGAUAAAACGUGGAUUUGUGGUCUCUGUCUUUAGCUCGGUCAACUUGAGAUCCCAAUCUGGCCAUUCCCCUUAACUAGACCAAAAUGUCACCUUCAACUUGGUUAACCUGAAAUCUCAAUCAAAAGACCCCUUUUAACCACAACCUUAGUCUUUUUCUUUAGCUCAACCAACCUAAAAUCCCAAUGUGGCGAUUCCCUUUAACUAGAAUCAAAAUAUCAUCUUCAACUUGGUUAACCUGGAAUCUUAAUUAAUCUAGAAACCCCCUAGGCUUCCUAGGCUUAGACUUGUGUGGACUUAGUGCACUAGAUUCUUUUUUGUUUAAGUUUUGUUGGUUGAAAAAAUACUUCCUAAAAUUAUUAUUAUUGUUAUUGUUUUUGUUAUUAUUAUUAUUAUUAUUAUUCAUACACAGUUAUAUUUAUGAUUAUUAUAUGGUCAAUUUGUCUAUGUCAAAGAAUAGAAUCUGAGGCAACUUUUUGACCAAAAUUCCACUCUCUAUUAAACCAAAAUGUUUAAUGCAAGCAACUUGGUUACUCGGAUUUGAGAUGUAAAUAGAUUUUUUGUUGGGAUGAGGUGGUCAGGUUGCGUCACAUUGAUUAUGUCAUGAAGUUAACUAGAGUAAGAAAUAAAGAUAUAAAGUUUCGGAGAGAAUCAAGAUCAGUUAAAGGAAAAAAAAAAGAUUAUGAAAAUAAAUUGGAAAGGAAAAGUUUAGUUAUAAGGAAUCAGAUUCACAAAGAAAUUUAAGUCUCAUCGAUUCUAGGAAACAAGUUGGAAGGAAUCAAUUUUACAAUAAUUGAACUUGGCACUAGAGAGAACCUCUGUGCCACUAAGUACUGAAUCGUUAUUGAAAUGUACUGAAGGCCAUUUGUUUGCCAUUUGUGCUCAUUAAGACCAUAAUUCUAUUCUUUUAUAGUUUUUUGGAAGAAAUAAAAAACUAGGGUGAGUUAAUAUUCUGUAAAAUAAGCUUGGAAUACCGUGCGGGGGCUUGGCUCAGAGAUCAUUGAGUUUUUCCUACAAAUUGCCUUUUAAUUUGUUUCACCUGUAAUUGGACUGGGAUUCGGUAAUUCUGUUAAGGACUUUCAUUUGGUUUAAGUUUCCCUUUUGUUUACAUAUGAGGUUCCGAGACAACAGUUGCUUGCUGUUCUUGAACAAACAUUGCUUGGAGGUUAUCCAAUGCCGAGAUCAAGGUCAGAUAAUACUAGCGUACGAUUGUGCUUAUUGCCAUUAAUUAGAAACUGCAAUAUCGUAACAUAAUUAAAAUGAGAUUAUUCUGAUUAGAGAGCAGAAGGAAUCUUCUUUCAUAAUUGGCUUUUGCGAAGAUUUAGUGUUUUUGCUGCUCCUACUUUUGGACCUGACUUGAUUCCUGACCGGUAGAAACAGCAUUAGUCCAAAAGAAGGGAAGCUUUUGUUUUCUUUAAUCACAUGAUCACAUGCCCAGCACAAAUUCAUAAAAGUGGCUCUAAUGAUUGGCUGACAACAGUUGUUCAUAAGCAAUGUUUGCGUUCCUUAUUUUUCAAUUUACAAAGUAUUUAGAACAUUCAAUACUUUUUUGUAUGCAUAACCUCCUCCAGUUGUGUUACCUUUAGUCCUGUACGAUAUUCUCCCUCUGCUAAACGUAGACGAGGAGAGGUUGCUAGAACUCGAGUCAGGAGCUUUUUCUUACUUCAAAUAAAAUUUCUGUGAUUUAUAUAUCAUAAUUUUCUAUUUGGCUGGUCAAGCAUGCAUUGUCAUAAAUAUCUCUCUGCUUCCCUGAUUAUCACUUUAUUCACCUAUUACUUAGCAUGAAAUAUUGAAAGAUUAAUGCAGUUGGAAGCACAACAAUAUAGCUGCAAGCAUGCAAAGACAGAAGAUAAACUGAAAUAUGUUAAAACACAAAAGAAUCCCAAAACCUUAUUUUAUUUCUAAAAUAUUAUGUGAUCAAGUCUACCUCCUAGAGAGGUUUACAAUCCCUAUUAUAGGCUAGAAAAAUGGACCAAGAUUGGAAACAAAAUCAAAAUCCCAAAACAUAACGGGAAAUAACAUAAAAUCUGCAAAAUUAAGAAAAAAUAACAAAAUUAACCCAAAUAAUAACUCAUGAGCCUAAUUUUUGGAGAUCCAAUGCUCCAAUAACUACUGAGUGGUUUUUAAUUGGAAAACAACAUGUAGAAUUACUACUCUGGUCUUGCGUGAUCAUGCUUUUUCUUGGACCAAAACAUGUCUUACUAGUACAUGAAAAUAUGUGGGAGGCCAUAUAUAUAGUCUGUUUAUGGAAAAUACAUAAUUAAUUUGCUGUUCAAAUGGUUUUAAGCUCUUCAAGGUGUGAUUUCACUGAAUAAUUUCGAGUUUAGAAUUAUCACCUCAUUUUGGAAUUGUCCUGAGCACAGGAUAAAAUGAUGAGCCAUGGGGAGCGUCUUGGAUUAAGAAAGAAUAAACGGAGUUCAAGGUAAAACAACAGCUUAGGAAAAAAAAGUACAAAUUUACAAUAUAUCUAAGAAUAUCAGCGAUCAUGACCAUGAUUGGAUCAUUUGUGAAUUCUAUAACCAAAAUUUCCUUCACAAAUCUUUAACUAAGCUGGUAGUCGAUGAAGAGUUAAGGAAAAGCAUGAUUCCCAAUCCGAGCUACAUAUAUAAAUAUCUUAUCUCCUAUGAAAAUGAGAAGGGUACGCCUCCCUUUGAAGCAUUGAUUUACACAUAUCUUUUACAGAAAAAGGGAAACAAUGGGAAAUGCUCUGAGUAUAUACCUUUUCUUGAUCUUUCCCAAACCUUCAUUAUAAAUGGGACCCAUCAAACAUGAGAUGUGCUUUAACCUCCACCAUAUUUCAUCUUAGCCUAGAAGGAUAGACAAGAAUAUUAUUGCUUCUGAAACAUAACGAUUACAAGCAUCGCCUUUCGGUGAACUUUUGAUGACAUGAAACUGCCACAAAUUGGGUGCUAUCCGAGGGACUUUUGUUUUUCUGCUCUGUUAUUGGAUAUAUACAACUGAAAUCUUUAAGUCCUCUUUAGGGUACCCCUGAAAGAAAAUGGUCUUUCAUAGAAAGUCCUGGGGAAUCUGAGGCAUAUAAUAUGAGAUAUAUAUCGUCCCAAGAUCAUAAAAACGAUAAAUCUUAAUCUCAUCAAGUGUAGCCAUGAAGUGGGAUCAAAACCUAUUUUCUUAUUGUUAUUAACUAAAGGGAAAGCCACAACUAAGUCUCUGUGCUAUGAUUGUGAUUGUGUCGGCGUCAAGGAAUUGCCACGUAGUAGUUUGGUUUAGGGUCGCUAGAAAACCCGGAUAUACUGGUCUUAUAAGAGAUUCUAAGUGUAAGGAAUUGGUAGUGGCUAUGGAAGGCAUUAACACUCCUUGGGCACUCUACCUGAGUUAAGUUGCAUUGUGUGGUUUAAAUAUGGUUUAAAGGUUUUGAUGGGUUCCUAACCGGUAUCAUGUCUAUGUUUUAGGAUGGGGUUUAUUCAUGUGAAUAAAUCUGGCGUUUUGAAUUUAUUAUGGCCUCGUGUGCCCCAAUGAAUUCUUAUAGAAAGGAUUCACGUAGGUGCCCUAACAGGGUUCAUUUAUCCUAAAAAGCGGAAGGGUUUUCCAUAAUUCAAUCGUGCGUUGUGGUGAAAAGUACUCCCAAUUAAAAUUGAUGAAUAUUUAGAAUAAUUAUGAGAAUUUUCUAGUCAAUUCCUGAUAUUUAAUUACCAGUCUACUUGCAGGUCCAACAUUUAUACCACAAUAUUGACCAUUAAUUCUCAUGAAUUAAAAUUUUAAAGGUUAUUGAAAUAUUGGCUAAAUUCUCAUGAAUUUAGUAAACCAGUUAUUAAAUUCAAAAUGCUAGGAAAUAUAUAUUUUGUAAAAACUUCCUAAAACACAUGUGUGUGUCUAUAUAUAUAUAUAUAUAUAUAUAUAUACUUUUUAAGCAAACACAUGAUUUUUGCAUUUUUGAGGGACUUGUUCGUAUGCAAUUAAAACAUUUGGAAAAAUUAAUUUUUUUUCUUUUUAUCUUUUCUAUCACAAAAUGAAAAUAAGUAAUAAAACAAAUGCAACACACACAUACAUUCUCUUUUUUACUAUAUCUUACUUGCACAUCUAAAAAUUACACAUGUUUACAAAACACCAAAAAUUCAAAUUUCUAACAAUAAUUUAAAAAAAUUGCAAAAUAGACCUUCCAAAGGUAAAAAAUAAUUUGGAGAAGUUGGAGCUCGGGAAUAGUGCUAGAAGAUUUUAGGGUUGGAGGAAUAGUGGCGAUGCGUGUAUCGAGGUGCCAUUUCCACUAACAACGCGUGGAACCACGCGCUGUAGCAGCUGGAGAGAUGGAAAACAAGGUGGAUCUGAAGCAUAAUCUUCUUCUCUUUAAUCUUGUGCCAACAGUGAGUGUCACCUAACCUGCAAGACAAAGAAAAAAAAGCACAAACAAUAGCUUUUACUUUUAUUUUAUUUUUUAGAUCUCAUUCUCUCAUUCUUUCUUCAUCUUAGUUUGCCUUUUCUUUUCUUCUUCAGGUGGUUGCUGCUGCUAUCAUAGAUGAAGGACGUUGGGUGUUGCCAAGAGGAGUUAAUACCUUUUUUGGUGGUUUCGGGUGUACUUGUGUUAGAGAAAAACAAAACGGGGAGUCUUGGAAGUAGUUGUUAUUGGUUGGAGCUGCUGGUGUUCGUGAUGGCUGGUAGCGUGGAGACCGAGAGAGAUGAGGAAAUGGGUCUAUUUCUUUGAUUUGGUGAAGAGAAAAUGAUGGUUGGUUGUUUUUUUUUUAUUUCACGGGUGGUGGUGGUUGAAAUGGGUUAAGAGGAGCAGGAUUUAAAGGAUAAUGCUCUAGUUGUGUAUUAUAGAAUGUACCUAUAUAAGAAAUAUUAUUGGUAUACUCUUAAAUUGUAAUCUCCACCAUUACUAUUGUAUAUUGUCAUACACAUAUAUAUAGAAAAGGCUGGCUAACCAAUAGGUUAAGCCUCCUAAUUAUUCUCAACUUGGUAUCAGAGCCUUCUGCAAUCAGAACUAUUUCUUCCCUCUCCCUAUGGACUCUACUCCUGCUGCCACCCUCUCCCACUACCACACUGGCGGUGCAGCCCAGCCGGCCAGCCAAUCAAAAGUUGUUGCUGAUGGUUCUUUCUCACACCAGUAGUAGCCCUAACUUGCAAAGCAGCACCAUGGUUCCUUCUCCCAUGUUUCUGUUUUCCCUCUUCACAUCAUGGGGACAUCAACUCCUUUUAUCAUUGCAUUAUCCAUCACUCAGCAAGUGGUUUCAUUGAAUCUUACAAACACCAAUUAUCUCUAUUGGUGAAUGCAGGUAAAGCCAUAUCUUUGGUCAAGGUGUUUUCCACUUUGUCGAUGGCUCAAUGUUAUGUCCUCCCUCACAUGUUUUUGAUAGUUUUGAUGGUUCCUCUUUGGCAAUCAACCCCUCCUUUCUUUGUUGGAAGCAAUAUGAUUAGCUUAUUUUAAGUGUGUUACCCCCCUCUCUCUCCAUGGAUGUACUGCACCUUAUGGUAAAAUGUCAGACUUCUUUUUGUGUUUGGUGCACUCUUGAGAAAGUGCUUGCUUCUCCGUCGAAUUCUUGUAUCAUACAACUCCAUGGGUCUUUUCAAGAUCUUUGGCAAGGCGAUGCCUUAGUUGCUCAAUAUAUGCAGCACGCCAAGUCAUUAUUUGAUGAACUGGUUGCUGUUGGUUGACCCCUUUCUCUUGAAGACUUCAACCUUUACAUAUUUUAUGGUCUUCGUGGUGAGUUUAAAGACUUGGUAACUAGUCUUGUGACAAAGGCAGAACCGUUAUCAUACUUGACCUUCAUAGUCAUCUUCUUACUCAUGAGUUUCUGCAUAAGACUUCCCUUCCAUCCAUGGCUGCAAAUCCACCUCUGCUGCCCACACCAUCUCUUCUGCCCUCUGCUCAUCUUGCUCAGCAUCAGCACAACCCUAAUUUCAAUCGUAACUGUAACAACCCUGAUUUUCUACAUUCUUUUUCGCGAUACAUUGGAAAUUUUCAGGUAAAUUUUUUUUUUUUUGAUAUACAGGUUCCACCAAAAUUUCAGCAGAGUCUCCCCUAUACUGGGAGGUCCCAAGUUAUUGACAUAUACCUGUUUACACUUCUAAUAUCUCACAUCUCAUAACUCGAUCACGACCCAAUCAUCUUGGGUCUCAAUCCCACAAACAUCAUCAUCAUCACAACCAUAAUAUUUAUAACAUACAUUGAACAACAAAUAUCAUUAUAGAGGAAUAAAUGAGAUAAACACGCAUACAUGAAACAUGAUUAUAUGAAUUUCAGAGUUAGGUUUGUUUAUUCAAGUUUAAACAUCAAAUAUAUAAAUUAAGUUCUAUAAAUGUUUUAAUAUUUCAAAAUACAAGGAUAUACUACCUAGAACUACAUAACAAAAAGUGAACAAAAGCUAGGAUCUACUCCUGUAGUACACUCGAUGAUCCUGAAACAAAAUACAUAUUAUUGAAACAUGAAUAUCACAAUAAGUAUAGUAACACAAAUAUCCAACAAUUUAAAAAGGCAAACAUGUAUUCAUAUUCUAUUCACUUCUCCAUUUUUGUUUCCAUUGGAACUCUUCUUCAUUCAACUACUAAAACCGUUUCAUCUUCCAUUUUUAACUUCCAUUCAAGAUACCAUAAAAUCAACCACAACUAUUUUUGCCUAACUCAUUGUCAAUACUAAUUCCACCGGUAUCAUCAUCACCUCGUAAGCAUUGAUGUUUAGUGAUCCCCUUACCCGGGACCCUAACAUACACUAAAUGUAUGCUAGUCCAUGCCCCAUAGGCGUCAAUGCAUGGUGAUCCCCUUAUCCGGGAUCCUAACAUACACUAAAUGUAUGUAAGUCCAUGCCCAUAGGCAUCGAUGCAUGGUGAUUCCCGUACCCGGGAUCCUAAGAUACACUAAAUGUAUGCUAGUCCAUGCAUGGUGAUCCCCUUACCUGGGAUCCUAACAUACACUAAAUGUAUGCUAGUCCAUGCCCUAUAGGCAUCAAUACAUCGUGAUCCCCUUACCCGAGAUCCUAACAUACACUAAAUGUAUGCUAGUCCAUGCCAAUUUCAUCCAUUAAUAUUGUCAUUCUUUGUCCGGUCAUAGUUAUCAUUACGAAUUUUCAUUUCAAGCAUGGCUCGUUUCUUUUCGAAGCUACGAUGUAACAUCACAUGUUUCCCAAAGGGAAAGGACCUAAAUUUUCACCCUUUAAUGCAUCUAAAUAGUCAUUUUAGCGAUUUUCCGAAUCUGCCAGCAAAGGUCGUAUUCCGACCUAUCCUCAGAUUUUUUUUCUAUAUCUGGAGUUCUAGGACUCCUUUUCAAGCAAGUUUGGUCUCGUUGGAAAGUUAAGACACAGGGCUAAAAGUCCCAUGAAGGGAGGAGAAACCAGUUCUGCCCCCAAGACAUUCGAAAUUAUUCGUCAACAAAUUAGACCUACUGCCCUAUAGGGUCUGUCAUGACCCAGUCUCGGUUGGUGACCCAUAACUGGAUUUCUAUAGCUCUAAAUUGAGUAAGGCCAGUUUCCUUAGUUAGUCAACAUCCAAAUCUACAAUUAUUAUGAGGAACCUGAUCCUAAUUCCCUCAUCCUCCUACUCGAAUUCUCUCCACAAGUAAGGAGACGAAUCUAUCCAGAUUCAUCAACCUUUCCAUUUACACACAAUAUCCACAAUUCAACCUUUUCCCUUUAUCUCAACCCCUAGCCAUAUCACAUGUCGUUUAAGAGUGUCAACAAUAUCUUUUUACGAGUCAGUUUAUCCUAACUAAUUGAUCUAUACCAUUGUAUGCAAGGUACUCUUAUUCAUUCCAAUAAUAUCACAACAAGUCUGAUACAUAUCAAUGUACGUAAGACACUCGUAUCCAUUUCAAUUAUGUCAUAACUAGUUGAUACACAUCAAUGUAUGCAAGGUACUCAUAUUCAUUCCAAUAUUUAUCGAAGCAAUAAAACAAUAAAUUCUGAAAUCAAUGAGUUUACAGAAAUUGAAAAGGCAAGGUGCGAUGCACCUACCUAGAGUAUGUGCAUGUGCUUCCACUCCAUGCAAUUGUCCAGUCCCCACAGCUUUCUCUGUACCACCAGAGAUUCAGUCUUUAUCAACAAUACAACCAACAUCACAACUUUAUUUAAUUUUCAUUCAACUAGUAUUCUCAAACCAAUCACAAGGAAUUUCUUUAGGAUCUCAUACUCUUUCCCAUUUUCAUGUUUAUAUUCAUUCUUAUAAUUUUGUUAUCAAAACCAUCACUCAACAACAAUUCCAAGCAAAGAUUAAGAAUCGUCUAAUUCCGAUCAAUUUAGCUUAACCAACCCAGAACACUAUCUAGUGUUUUAAUUAUAAUUAAAGCUGAAAAACUUUGUUUUGGGUGUGAUUUAUCUCCAUCAAAGGCUAAAACCUAGAAAUACAACUUUUAUGAAGAAGCCAACUCCAAAUUAUUUUGUUUUAAGGCUCAAAAUCAACAAUCAUAAUAGCCCCUCCUUUAUAGCUAAAUUUUUUGGACAACGAGGAUUUUCAUCCCUUGAAAAUCCUUUUCAACUUUCAACUUAUUUUCAUGCAAAAACAACAUCAUCCAAGGUCAUUUGGCAUCAUUAAAUCACAAAUUCAAACCAAUUAUAAAGCAAAGGAUUCAAACAAUUUCCCUACCUCUACAAUAUAGCAAGAUUAGACCAAAAUAAGGAAACUCAUUCCUUUUAGGAUUUCUCUUAUUAUUAUUAUUAUUAUUGUUAUUAUUAAUACAACAAAAUGAUGAACCAUUUAUUUUCUUUCACUUUCUCCUCGUGCGAUUAAACAUAUGCGACAAACCUUAACAAUUAAUAUUCUUAGAUCAUUAUCACAACAACAAUUUCACCCUAUUAGUUGGAAUCCAUGACAAUCUUCAUUAACUAAUCAAUUUGCCAAAAAUACUUAUGGCUAGCUUUAAAUAUGUUUUAUUUUCUGAAUUUCUUUCAUUUCAAUUUCUUCAUGGUUCCACCCCAUUUAUAUCCACACAACCAACAAGUUAGCUUUUUAUUCAAUCAACAUGUUCAUAUAGCAAUGUUAUAUAGCAAUAUUCCUUACUAUUCUUACACAAUAAUCAUUCUUCCCCUCAUAUGAAGAAUACACAAUUAAUCUAUCAUAAUACUAAUAACAAAAACAUAUUUUACCAUUACAUCUUCCAUAAAACCUACACCCACACAAUCUAAUUUCAUCAAAACUUGUAUUUAAUCAAGCUUACUACAUUUUGCCAAAACUAGCAAUAGAUUCAAAAGGCAAUAAGUCAUCAACCUCUGAUUAUUAUGUUAAAUCAGACUACAUAUCAUAUAGUUUUGCAUCAUAUAUCUCAAAAUCAUAAUGAUCCAACGGUUAGAUCUCCCUAGAUCUUAAUAAAACCGAGCUUACCUUAAAAUGGACAAGCUACUGUUCAACAUGCACAAAACCUUGCCAAAUAAUGAGUUUCGAUCUCCACCGUCCAAAAUGAAGAAAACAUCUAGACGCACCACAUAUCCAAGAAUGAGCAUGAUCCAACGGUGGAAGAGAGAUAAAACGGCUAGCGACCAAACUGCCCUGCAGGUGUAUUUCCUUUUUGUUUUCCAGAAAAUUUCCGAUGGUAAUUUCUAUCCAACGGAUUGUGUUCCUUCCAAUCCCUCCAGGUAGUUAGUAGUGGAGUGUGAUAAGAAUAACAUAUCCAAAACGUAGCAUGAUCCAAUGGUGGAUUCCAGAGAUAUUGCCACCGGAUCACUAUUGGUUUUUCUCUAAAAUCUGCAGUUCUCUCUCUAUCUGAUUUUCUCUAUUUUUUUUCUUUCUUUUUUCUUUCCUUUUUCUUUUUUUUAACUUGUGGCCUCUUUGCAGUUUUAUAGGCACCUUUUUCCAUAAUUAUAAUUUUGUCCCUCAUUCAUGCCUUUAUAUAUUUUAUUUUAUUUUUCAUGUAAACUAUCCGGUUUAUUUAUGCUUAAAUCGCUAGUCUUUACCAAACUCCGAUUGGGAUGAGAUAUUUAACCAAGGUAGGAAAACAUAUUAAUAGACUUCAUGCAAAAUUUCAUCCCAAUUUCAUGUAAAAUUGGUCAGUUCAUGACCUUUUCAUCAACGAUCCAAAUUUUCUUGUUCAAUCUUCACAUAAAAUCAUAUCAAUUUUCCUUCUAAACCUUUAAGUCAAUUUAUUAUUUUUGAAUAUAUAUUCAUUUUAGAAUUUCCACCUUUAUUUAUUUAUCGGGCUUAUUACCAUUUCAAAAUAACAUCACUGAUUUUUAAUCGGUGCUUGCACCUUCAGUCCUACCCUUUUUAUUGCACUAUCCUUUAUUAUAAUGUAUUCUUUAUUACCUCACUUAUUUCUUAGAAACAUUUUGUUAUUUUUUUCUCAUUAUUUUAUCCAUCAAAACAUGUUACCAGUUUCUCUGUCCUUGUGAAUUCUAAACCAAAAUUCAUUUUAUAGAGGUCAUCUCUUCCAUUUUAUAUCAUUAUUUAUCUAUUAUUUCUAAUCUUGGUUUCCAUCACUCAUUGAAAUCAUACCACUUUCAAUCUCACAUUUACAUGAGGUUUUACACAUCGACAUAUUUAAAUUAUAAAUUUCCAGGGUCUCACAGUAACAGAGGUCGUUCUCACGAAAAUUGGCACCCCAACAGCAGCCGGUAUAACAGCUAGCACAUGUCUAAUUUUCAUGGUUUUCACUCAUCUGCUCCCGUAGAUUGGAAGCAAGGUAACUGGUAGCAAACCAGACGACCUGCUAGUUCUGGGAAGUGGCCUCCUCACUGACCUUUUGAGCAGAACAUCAAGUGUCAGAUGUGCUUCUCCUUUGGACAUACCGCCCUACAAUAUGCUUAGUUUCAUAGCAAUGGCCACCAGCCCUAUGCUCCUCUUGCUGUUGGCUCUGUUUCUGCCCCUACUUGGUUCCCGGAUACUGGUGUGAACCAACAUGUUACACCUGAUCUUGCAACUCUAACCGAUUUUGCACCCUAUCUUGGUAAUGAUUACUUGCAUGUUGGUGACGGUAAGGGUCAUUCCAUAUCCCAUAUUGGACAUACCAUGUUACGUUCCCCUAAACGCACCUUUACAUUCUCCAUAUUCCUCAUAUUACCAAACUAUUGCUAUUUGUUCAAAAAAUUUAUCAUGAUAAUAAUGUUUAUUUUGAAUUUAGGUCUGGUUUAUAUGGAUGAAAAGCUAAGACAUAGGCUUAAAACUUUCAUGAAGAGUUCAAGAUUCAAAACGACCGUUUUCAAGUUCAAAUGGUUGCAACAAAAGAGAAGUCGGAAUCUGUCUUGCAGCCCAGACAAUAUUCAGUGUUCAGCCCAUAACUCGAGUUCUAGAAGUCCAAAUGAGCUCAUUCCUAUUUUGUUUGAAAGCUGAGACAAAUGCCGAGAACUUUCAUGAAGAUUAUCUGUUCAAAUUGUGACGUUAGUAAUGACGUUUUGUUCAGACAAGAAGAUAAUUGUAGUCACCAAGUCAAGAGGUGGCCACCCACUCAAUAAUUAGUCAUCAAAUCAAUAGUUCUGAAUUUUAGCCUAUAAAAGGAGGCAUUUUUCAUACAUUUAGACAUCUUGGUGUUCAGAUCAAGAUCACUCUCUCUCUUUGUAUUUUGUAAUGUUCAAGUUUUAUUUUAUGUUAUAUUAAUCUCUUGUUUAUGUUUUUCAUUUCAUUUACUAUACUUAGUUAACUUAUAUCAUGUUUAUGUUCUUAUAUUGUUUAUUUAUGUUUUUCUUCUUCAUUAUGUUUAGCUAAGUUAAUUUUGUGAAGGUGAAAAGGGUACACUAAUGGUGUAAGAAUAAGUAUACUAUAAACUCAACAUGGACUUUAAUGUUUGAUACUAGCAUGUUUUGUAUUUGUUAUCUUACUCGUUCUUAAUACCUUGCUUGUUAAAUGGUUAAUCUAGAUUUGUGUUGUACAACCCUUGGUACAACAAAUACUUGACACUUUCAUAGCCUACUGUAUGGUACAACCGACACUUGUGCUAUGAAAGGAACUUGAUUUGUUGUUAAUAUAAGUUACACCAUGAAUACUUGACCACAUAUAUAAGUAUUGACAUUACUCAAAUAAGACAAUUAAUAUAUUCAUGUUAAUAAUUUAUAAUCCGAUUGAAACCUCCUUUGUGUGUGGUUUCCAGUUGAGUAAUAAAAAGAGUUUAUACUAUAUUUAUUUGAAAUACCAUUAGUGGAUCCUCUAACCUUGACAAUUGUUUAAUCCUUGUAUAAUCCUUACAUCAAUAUCACAUCUCAAAAGUUUUCUUCAACUCCUUUUCAUUUGUUGUUUAUAAUUUUAUAUAGUUCACCUCCCUGUGAUUCAACCCCGGUCUUGCCGGGUUAUUUAUUACUUCGACACUCCUGCACUUGGGAUAAGACAUCAAUAUUUUGAUCGUGUCGAUAAUGUUGUUUUUGCAUGAAAAUAAGUUGGAAGUUGAAAAGGAUUUCUAAGGGAUGAAAAUCCUCGUUGUCCAAAAUUUUAGCUAUAAAGGAGGGGCUAUUGUGAUUGUUGAUUUUAAGCCUUAAAACAAAAUAAUUUGGAGUUGGUUUCUUCAUAAAAGUUGUAUUUCUAUGUUUUAGCCUUUCAUAUAGAUAAAUCACGCCCAAAACUAAGUUUUACAGCUUUAGUUAUGAUUAAAACACUAGAUAGUGUUCUGGAUUGGUUAAGCUAAAUUGAUCGGAAGUAGACAAUUUUUAAUCUUUACUUGGAAUUGUUGUUGAGUGAUGGUUUUGAUAACAAAAUUAUAAGAAUGAAUAUAAAUAUGAAAAUGGGUAAGAGUAUGAGAUCCUAAAGAAAUUCAUUGUGAUUGGUUUGAGAGUACUAGUUGAAAUGAAAAUUAAAUAAAGUUGUGAUGUUGGUUGUAUUGUUGAUAAAAAAUUGAAUCCCUGGUCGUACAGAGGAAGCUAUGGGGACUGGACAAUUGCAUGGAGUGGAAGCAUAUGCACAUACUCUAGGUGGGUGCAUCACACCUUGUCUUUUUAAUUUGUGUAAACUUAUUGUUAAAUUUUACAAUUUAUUGUUUUAUUGCUUCGAUAAUAUUGGAAUGAAUAUAAGUACCUUGCGUGCUUUGAUGUGUAUCGACUAGUUAUGAUAUAAUUGAAAUGGAUAUGAGUAUUUUACAUACAUUAAUAUGUAUCAAACUUGUUAUGAUAUUGUUGGAAUGAAUAAGAGUACCAUGCAUGCAACAAUAUACCUCCAUUAGUUAGGAUGAUGUUUGAACGAAUAUGAGUAUCUUGUGUGCAUUGUUAUGUAUCGAAUUAAUUUUGUUAUUAUUAGGAUAAAUACAAUUACCUUACAUUGAUAGACAACGAAUUUGUCAUGAUAACCUUGGAAUAGAUGUAAUUAUCUUACAUACCUCAGUAUGGAUUGGGUAUACACAAUGACUUAGAGAUUAGGGGAGAAAUGAUAGAUAAUUGGUCACCAUAGUGUCGGUGGCUAAGGAUAUAUUCCAAUGAUACUUGACACUGCGAUGAGGGUGACCAAGGUUAUGUGAAUGAUGCUUAGUGGUCGUAGUGUUGAUAACUAAGUUUGUGUGUGAAUGAUACUUAGCAACCGUGUUUACAACGCAUAUGAUAGUAAAUAAAAAUAAAAAAGAAGUAAGGGGAUCGGUACGAAUGGAAAAAUCAGGUGACAUUGAUUAGCUAUCCAGGUUUGGAUAGCUAAUGGUAUCAAUGAGGUUUCAUUGGUACUAGCAUUUCAGACGAUAUUGAUUAGCUAUUCGGGUUUGGAUAGCUAAUGGUAUCAAUGAGGUUUCAUUGGUACCGACAUUUCAGAUGAUAUUGAUUAGCUAUCCGACUUUGGAUUGCUAAUGGUAUCAAUGAGGUUUCAUCGGUGCCGACAUUUCUUAAAUUGAUUAGUCGAUCCCGAGCAAUUGGGUGACUAAUGAUGUUAGUAAAGAUUACUAACAUCGGCAUGGUUACUCCUGGUUCUGUGAAAAAGAUAAGUUGAUUAAUUAUUCUGGGUUGAGAAUAGUUAAUGAUAUCAAUAGGUCACAUUGGUAUCGACAACCAUUUCUGGUGUGAUUAGCUACUCAAGGUAAGGAGGCUAAUGAUGUCAAGGGUCCCUAACAUCGACAACUUAGAUGGUAAACCAGAUACGAAUAAGAUUUGAUUAACUAUUCCGGGGAAGGAAUAGUUGAUGAUACUAAUCGGCACGUGAAUGUAAUUGACUAGUCUAGCCCAAUAUUAGAAGACUAAUGAUACUAAUGAGAUUUAUUAGUGUCGGCGAUUACCUUCUAGAAAAUGAAAGGAAAAAUGUUGAUUAGUUAUUCCAAAAGAAUGAGAUAAGCUAAUGAUAUCAAGAGAGAAAUAUCUUGGUAUAAAGUGAGAAUUAAUUUAUAAGGAGAUGGUGUUCGAAAAUCAUUGAGUUAUGUUGAGAUUUCCAAGAUGAAAUUAUUCUCAACAAAUGGGAAAUGAUAUUAAAUGGAUAUUGGUAAUAGAUAGAAAAUGCAUGUUGUAAAAGAGGUUUAUACCUAAUUUUAUGUAUCAAAAGAAAUUCUAUGGAGAUUAUUACCUAUCAUUGUUAUUGUUUGUUACUACCUUUUUAUAUUUUUGUGUACAUGUUAAUUUCUAUUUUCAGGUCCAUUAGGGUCGCGUCCAGAAUGAUAUUGGUUUAGUUACCUUUUUCUUUUGACCAUGUAAUUAUUUGUAAAUUAAGAGUCUUAUAUCCUAAAACUUGAAAUGUAAUAUUAAUUUGUAAAUUUGAAUGUAUGACUUUAAUCUAAUGUUUGUAACUCUAAGUACUUAUUUAACCAUGCAUGUUUAUAGUUGAAAUCGAAUCUUUCACUUGAAUUACAUUAGAUGAUGUUAUUGAAUAAGAUGUGUUGUGUUGAUGAUGAUUAGUUGGGUUGAGAUCCAGGACAAUUGGAUUGAGAUGUUAAUUAAAAUUGAAAGUGUAAUGUGAUUUUAUCGAUAACUUAGGACCUCCCAGUAUAGGGGAGACUCUGCCAAAAUUUUGGAGAAAUUUUGGUUGAACUUGUAUAUAAAAAAAAGAAAUUACCUGAAAAUUUUGAAUGUAUCGCGAAAAAGGAUGUAGAAAAUUGGGUUUGUUAUAGAAAAGGCCAUUGAAGUUUUCUACCAAGACUCAAACUUUUGAGAAAAGGAAGACUCCAUGAAGAAAAGGGGGACAUGUAUUUCUCAAGUAAGUAUACAUGCAUAUUGAUCAUAAUGCAUUGCUUUCAACAUUGACAGAUCGGUGUUUCACCAUCAACUUUUAGGUAGUGCGUUUUCUAACCCUAUCUCUUUUUAAGUGCGCUUUAGAGCCCUCAUCUCCUGUGUAGUGCGUUUUCUAACCCUAUCUCCUUUCGAGUGCGCCUUUGAGCCCUCACCUCCUUUUGAGUGUGCUUUUGAGCCCUCAUCUCUCGGGUAGUGCAUUUUCUAACCCUACCUCAUUUCGAGUGCGCCUUUAAGCCUUCACUUCUUUUCAAGUGCGCGUUUGAGUCCUCACUUCUUUCAAAAGUGCGUUUGAGCCCUCACCUUCAGGUAGUGCGUUUUCUAACCCUACCUCCUUUCGAAUGCGCCUUUGAGCUCUCGUAUCCCUUUGAGCCCUAUCUUGUCAUCUCUUCAAGACUCUUCAAAACAUCUUCCACUUGGGUAGGUCACCCAUUACAAUGAGACCAUCCUUUUUUCUGGGUAGAUCACCCAUUACGAUGAGACCACUCUUUUCUUUUCUCACUUGGGUAGGUCACCCAUUACAAUGAGACCAUCCUUUUUUGUGGGUAGGUCACCCAUUACAAUGAGACCAUUCUCCAUGUUUUUUUACGUGGGUAGGUCACUCAUUACAAUGAGACCACUCUUCCCUUUUCCCACUUGGGUAGGUCAACCAUUACAAUGAGACCAUUCUCCAUGUUUUUUUACCUGGGUAGGUCACCUAUUACAAUGAGACUAUUCUUCCACCUGGGUAGGUCACUCAUUACAAUGAGCCCAUUCUUCAACCUGGGUAGGUCACCCAUUAUAAUGAGACCAUGCUUCCACCUGGGUAGGUCACCCAUUACAAUGAGACCACUCUCCCCUUUUUUUUCACUUGGGUAGGUCACCCAUUAUAAUGAGACCACAUUACAAUUUUUUUUUCCAUCAGGGUAGGUCACCCAUUACAAUGAGACCACAUACAAAAUUCAAGUUAAAGGGAAUCCGAGAUGCGAUUUCAGUUUAACCCAACCAAAGACAGAAUUUAGAGGAUCGCCAUUAUCGGGAUCUCAAGAUAACCAAGUUAUAUAUAGCUUUGAUCGUUAGUGUUCGGUUGAAGGAGAUUGCUAUGAAGACAGGGUUUAAGAUCAACCAAGCUUUGAAGAGAUCAAUUUUGGAAUAUUUAAUUUUGUUUUAUCUUUACAAAACUUACUGUCAUAAUCCAUUUUUGGGUUAUUCCCCAAUUCACAUUUUUUUUCUCUCUUCAAAAAAAUAAAACACAAAAAAAAAUCAAAAAUAGUGUCAAAAAAAUAUAAUAGUGAAAAGAGGAUGCCAGAACGCUCAGAAAAUGGUUAAAAAUUGGUUGAGGAGGUUCAAAAAUACAAAGAUUGAAAUUUGACGGUAUUUUAUUGACUGAUGAGAGCCCUGUUGACAAAGAAAAUUCAAUUUGAGGAAGAAAAGUCCACAAUCAGAUGUUUAUGGACUCAAUUUAAUUUUAUUGAAGGUUUAAUUGAAUUUAUGAAGGGUUUGAUUGUAAGAAAAAUUGAUUUUGGAGUUAAUUUGGGCUUUAACUGGAAGAAAUUAAAGUUCUAGGUCAAAUUAUAAUUUUUGAGAGUUAAUUUGGUCAAAUCAGGGGCUUAAUUGCAUAAAUAUUGAAGUUUGAUUGCCAAUUAGGGACUUAAUUGAAGAAAUCCGAAACCAAGAACCAAAAUGAAAAACGCGCGUAAAUAGAGGGGCUGCAAUUAAACCGAAUCAGGGGUGAAAUUGAAGAAAUUAAAAGUUUAUUGAUCAAUUGAGGGUCAAAUUACAUAAAUUAAAGACCAGGGACCAAAGUGAAAACGGCGGCCAACUUCAGGGCCAGUGUUUGAUUUUUAGCAGGGAUGCAAUUGCAUUGAUUUUUAAAUCAAAAUUGCAAUUUAGGACUUGAUUGAACAAAUUACAAAUUGAAGAAUGAUUUGGACUUUGACAUAAGUUUUUGUCGCCUUUUCCUUUUAAAUGACACGACGCGUUUUGUCCAAAACGGCGCCGUUUAAUUCACUCUUCAUAAAAAAAACCCGAAACGGUGUUGUUUUGAACAGUACUCCAGACUUUCUUCUUCCCUUAGACGUGAAGAGAAACAGGGGAAGGAAGUUGCGUUCCCCUGUAUUUUCACCGCCUUUCUUCCUCCUUUUAGUUCAAAAGGACGCCGACCAAGGACCCCCCACUUACCCAAAAUUUUCCACGUGUUGGGGGGGCGGUGGAGGGGCGGCAGCACAGUGGCCGCCCUGUCCUCUUUCUCCCUUGUUUUUUUGCCUAUAAAAACAAGAGAAGAGAGAGCAAAAUGGAGGGACAACGAGAAAGAGAGGAGAGGAGAAGAGAGAGAGCAGAAUAGAGGGGGACUACCGAAAGAAAAAAAGAAAAAAGAAAAAGAAGCAGAGAAGAGAACAAAAAACAGAGAGAGAGAGAGAAGAAGAAAAAACAGAGCCAACGCCGACCAUCAUGAACCGCCAGCGUAGCUGCCUAUAGCCUCCAACAGCUCCGCCAACGAUAGCAGCCACCGUAGGUCAGCCCUUCUCCCUUUCUUUUUUCUCCUGCUUCAUCCCUGACACGCCUCCACUAUUCACGUAGCAUGUGAACAGUGGAGGACACUGUUCACACAGGCUAGGCUGAUCCCUUGUUUUCUAAUCCUACAUGGUUUUGUCAAAUUAUGGGUGCUCUUCAAUAUCUCACAUUUACGAGACCAUAUAUCUGCUUUGUUGUUAACAGAGCCUGUUAGUUUAUGCAUGCUCCUACAGAUUUUUAUAGGGGUGCCGUUAAACAAAUUUUGCGUUAUCUACGGGGUACGACCACCUAUGGCUUACAUAUCACUCAUAAUUCCUCCUUUGCUCUAUAUGGCUUUACAUAUGCAGAUUAAGUAAGUAGUAUUGAUUAUCGCAAAUCUACGAGUGGUUAUCUUGUCUUCUUUGGUCAGACGUUGAUUUCAUGGAAAUCAAGCAAGCAACGCAUAGUUGCUCGCUCCUCCACCGAGGGUGAGUAUAAAGCCUUGACAGAUGGUACUGCUGAGGCUAUCUGGCUUCAGUAUCUAUUGAGAGAUCUGCAGAUUCAUUCUACCUUUACUCCUACUAUUUUGUGUGAUAAUCUAGGCGCUACUUAUUAUCUGCAAAUCUUAUCUUUCAUGCUCGUAUUAAACAUGUUGAGGUUGACUAUCAUUUUGUACAAGACAGGGUUGCGAAGAAAGAGAUUCAAAUUCACUUUAUCUCCUCUUAUGAUCAACUUGCAUAUGUUUUUACUAAGCCGCUUCCUACUGUUCUGUUUACUGCUUUUCAAUUCAAGCUUUAGGUUGAUCCUCCACCCUCUCAUGUUGUAAUAUCUACCAUUACUAUUGUAUAUUACCCUACACAUAUAUAUAGAAAAGGUUGGCUAACCAAUAGGUUAAGCCUCCUAAUUAUUCUCAACUUGGUGGUUAGUGAAAAAAAAAAGAAAUUUCAGCUUGUUAUGACUACUGGAGACAUCGUGGGUGACUAAAGCUACUAGUAAUGAUAGGGUUGUCGCUGCCAGCAUUGAUGGUGACCAUUUGGUGAUGACAGUGAAAUGGGCGAUGGGUUUGUGUUUGAUGUUGGGAGGAGCAUCAUUUUUGGAGAAGAGAUAAGGGAUUCAAAAGAGUGAGGGAAAUAGGGGUUGGUUGGUGUCGAGGUUUAUGGUGGUUACAGAGGUUGCUAGGUUAUCGAUAGAAAGGCUGGGGGAGUGAGACUAGUUUGGGUUGGUGCUAGUCUAAAAGGAAAGAAGAAAAGGCAGUGAGUCCAAGGAAGAAGGUAAUCUUUGCUGGCUUCUAGGUUUCAGUAUAAUGGGGAUAGGUUUUUUUUUUUGUUUUUUUGGAUUGUGAGGAAGGAGUUAGGUGUAGGGGAGAAUGAAGAUGAUGAGUGUAUGGAAGAUGGAAUGGGUAGAUAUCACGUUUGUUUUUUCUUUCUUUUUUCUAGAGAGAGAAGGUUUGUUUCUACUUAUUUUUUGUUAGCCUCUUUAAAUAAUUCACUUCCUUUUUUUUUUUUGCUAAUGCUCUCUCCUUUUUUUUUGUGUAGUGUAACCAUCUAUUUAUAAGCAAAACAAGUUUGUUAUUUUAAAUCACUUGGUCUCCAAGCAAACUUGGUGACCAAGUUAACCCAAUAAUAAUCUGGUCCCUCAACUUCUUUCUUUUCACAUUUGUUCCUUUUGUUCAAUUUAUUUUUUUUUAUUUUAUUAUAUUUUGAUUUUUUUGAAAAAAAUCAAUAUCAAUGUCGACUUAAUAAGCGCGUUAACAUCUGAAUGCGUUGAAAGUAGAUUUGUUUUAUUUUAAAUUCUUUGAAAAAGACGCUGAAAAUUAUGCAAAUACUUCAAGAAUGCAUUUUUUAGUGUUUUAUUCAAAAUGGAGUAAAAAAUUGGGUAGCAACAAAUGCCCUCUCUUUACAAUACUUACAGAGAAAAGACUUGUUAAGUGCUUAGCGUAGUAAGUUUGUAAUGACAAAUGAAUUUUUCUUCCAAAACUAAUCUUCUCAAAGCUUUUAGUUUGGUUGAACUAGAACUCUAUUUUCGCAGCAAUCCCUUUCAACCAGAAAUUGUGUACAACUUGGUUAUCUUGAAAUCCUAAUCUGAUGAUUCCCUUUAUCCAAAAUCAAAAUUAUUACCAAAAGUUUGGUUAACCUGAGAUCCCAAUCUGGCAAUCCCUUUUAACUAGAAAAAAAAUCUGAAAAACAACUUGGCUAACCUAAAAUCCCAAUUUAGCGAUUCCUUUUAACCAGAACCAAAAUGUUACCUUCAACUCGGUUAACCUGAAUUCUAAUCUAGUAACCCCAUUUAACUAGACGAUUCCCUGUAACCAUAACAAAAAUGUUUUUUUCAGCUCAAUUAACCUGAAAUCUCAAUCAAGAGACCUCCUUUAACCCAAACCAAAAUGUCACCUUUAGCUUAGUUAAUCUGAAAUCUCAAUCUAUUAUUAUUAUUAUUAAUUUUCAUACACAAUUAUAUUUAUGAUUAUUAUAUGGUCAAUUUGUCUAUGUCAGAAUAGAAUCUGAGGCAACUUUUUGACCAAAAUUCCAUUCUCUAUUAUUCCUUCAAUAUUGGGGAUUAAUGCAAGCAACUCGUUUAUUCGGAUUUUGACCCAAAACUUUCUCGAUUAUUCGGAUUUCUUGUUUGGAUGAGGUGGUCAGGUUGCGUCACAUUGAUUAUGUCAUGUUACUGAAGUUAACUAGAGUAAGAAAUAAAGAUAUCAAGUAUCGAAGAGAAUCAAGAUCAGUUUAAGGAAAAAAUAAAAAAACAGAUUAUAAGGAAUCAGGUAUUAAAGAAUACAAGAUAUAUUGUUGGGAAUCUAUGAAGAUUUAACUUCCAUCAUUUUGUUGUCUUCCACAAUGAAUUUGGGUUAUCACAUGACAGACAUACUUGGAAACAUACCUAACUUGAAAGGAAUGGAUUGUUAAUGAUGAGGAUUCUUUUCACUAACAUUGUGUAUGAUAUGAAUCUCUACUACUAAAUGCAAUGAGAUGUGCUUUAACUUCCACCAUAUUUCAUUUUACUUCCUCAGCAUCCCACUGCCCUUGCCUUCUCUACAUAUUAAAAAGAUCCAUCUUCAAAUUAAGCUGAGAAGAUCCGGCAUGAGCUAAUUUUGUUGUUUUUCUUGAUUUUUCUAGAUUUCAUGUUUUAUUUUGAAUUUUUUGUUAUUUUCUAGGAUUCCAGUUUUAUUACCUAGUACGUCUAGGUUGAUCUCCUAGCCUAUCUAAAUAAAUUAUAAACCUUUAAAGAUGCAUACUAUAUUAGACUUUAUUACUUGGAGAAUAAAAACUUUGAAUUUAGGUUUUUUUUUACACUUUUUGAUCAAACUUUUUACGGGCUUUAUUGAAAAAACAAUAAGCAUUUUGACUUGAUUCUUGACUGGUAAAUUUUUUUGUUGUAUUUUUGGAGGUUUUGACGAAAACCGGGUAUUUUAAUACCAGAUUUGUAUUUUUUUCGAAAUGACAAACAAAAAAAAAAGACCGAGAUUAAACAAAACAGCGUAAAACAAUACACGCGGGGAAAUGGCAAAAUUAUAAACAUAUAUUUUUUUGCUGGGUCGGGCCCUGCCCACCAUUGUUGGGCUGUACCGGACUCAGCCCAAGAUCAAUGAGCCCAGCCCACAUCAGCUGGUUACGGUGCAUGAGCACAGUAACCAGCUUCACCUCGCCUGCAGAGACGUGCACCGCGCACGUCCUGCAUGUCGAGGGAAGAAACGAAAGCAAGAGGGGUGGAGGGUUUACCUGGAGAAGCCUUAGUCGUCAGUGAUGGCCAGAGGUGGCGGUGGUUCCAGGUAGCGGCGGUGUUGGUGGCAGCUCCUCCUCUGUUUUGUUCUUCUUCCUUUUUCUUUGUUUUUCUUCUCGUUUUUAUUUCUUCUCUCUUCCUCUCUCUGUUUUUUUUUUCUUUCUUACUCCUCUUCCUCUCUUCUGCUCUCUCUCUUCUCUUUCUGCUCUGCACUUUUUUUCUUCUUCUCCCCCUUGUCUCUUUGUCUCCCCUGUAUUUAUAGGAAAACAGGGGAGAGACAUGGCUGGGGCGGCCACUGUGUUGCCGCCCCAUGAUCGCUUGAGGAGGCACAUCUCCUCCGUUUCUCCAACACCCGGGAGGCCACGGGUCAGCUGAGCAAGAUAAAGUUUUUGGUCGGCGUCUUUUUGAAGGGGAAGGCGGUGGAAAACGCAGGGGAACAAAAGUUCCCUUCCCCUAUUUUCUGCACGUCCAAGGGAAGAAGAAGACGUAUGGUGUCGUUCAAAACAACACCAUUUUGGGUCUUUUUUUUUAAUGAACAAUGUAUGAAAUGGCGUCGUUUAGGACAAAACACGCCGUUUCAUUUAAAAGGAAAAGGCGGCAAAAACGUGUCAGAGUUCACAUUGGUCCUUAAUUUGUAAUUUGUUCAAUCAAGUCCUCAAUUACAUCCCUGCCAAAAAUCAUACAGCGGCCCUGAAGUUGGCUGCCUUUUUCACUUUGGUCCUUGAUGUUGAAUUUAUUCAAUUUGACCCUCAAUUGAUCAAUAAACUUCUAAUUUCUUCAAUUUCGCCCCUGAUUUGGUUUAAUUGCAGCCCCUCUAUUUACGCGCGUUUUUCAUUUUGGUCCUUGGUUUCGGAUUUCUUCAAUUAAGUCCCUAAUUGGCCAUCAAACUUCAAUAUUUAUGCAAUUAAGCCCCUGAUUUGACCAAAUUAACUCUCAAAAAUUAUAAUUUGACCCAGAACUUUCAUUUCUUCCAAUUAAAGCCUAGAUUAACUCCAAAAUCAAUUUUUCUUGCAAUGAAACCCUUCAUAAAUUCAAUUAAACCUUUAAUAAAAUUAAAUUAAGUCCAUAAACAUCUGAUUUUGGACGUUUCUUUCUCAAAUUGAAUUUUCUUCAUCAACAGGGCUCUCAUCGAUCAACGAUAUACUGUAAAAUUUCAAUCUUUGUAUUUUUGAACCUCCUCAACCAGUUUUUAACCAUUUUCUAAGCGUUCUGGCAUCCUCUUUUCACUGUUAUAUUUUUUUGAUAAUAUUUCUUUUUGUAUUUUUUGAAGAGAGAAAAAAUGUGAAUCGGGGAAUAACCCAAAAAUGGGUUAUGACAAGGACCAAACUGGAAAAGGCACGUGAAUAUAGGGGUUGAAAUUGACCAAAUCAGGGGCCAAAUUGAAGAAAUUGAAAGUUUGUUGAUCAAUUGAGGGUAAAAAUGCACAAAUUCAAAACCAAUGAUUAAAAUGAAAAAGGCGGCCAACUUUAUGGAUGACAUUUGAAUUUGGUAGGGAUGUAAUUGAAUUGAUUCCUAAAAUCAAAAUCUCAAUUAAGGACUUGAUUGAAUAAAUAAAAAAUUAAGGAUUGAUUUGGAAACAAGGACUUCUUAGGUGCCAUUUUCAUUUAAAUGAAACGACGUAUUUUGUACAAAAUGAUGUCGUUUCAUUCACUGUUAUUAAAAAAAAAAGAUGACAAAACUAAAAAACGAUGCCAUUUUGAUUGCACUAUACAUCUUCUUCUUCCCCUAGAUGCGCUGUAGGUAGGGGAAAAAGGUUUUUUUCCUCUCCUUUGCAGCGUCUCUAUCUCUCUCUCUAUUUCACUUGCCAAAAAACACCGACACAACCCACACCCCCUAUAGCCUACCAUCAAGAUGAAAAAACAGAGGGGACAAGCCUUGUGGGCGGCCCUAGGGUAGUUGCUUAGUAGCCACCCAACCACCCUACCCCUUUAGCAUGACUAGACAGGGGUAGGAUAGCUCUCUCUCCCCCUUCCCCUUAUAUAUACCCCCCUCACCAGGAGUAGGGGAGACGACAUAACAGAGAUGAAUAAAAGAGAAAAAAAGGAAGGAAAAAAAUGAAACAAAAGGAAAAAAAUAGAAAGAAAAAACAGGGGAAAACAAAGAGAGGAAAAGGAAGGGAAGAAAAAGAAAAACAGAGAGAAAAAAAGGAAAGAAAAGGGAGAAGAACACUCUUUGGUAUUACCUAUAAAGGAAAAGGAACUUCCCAGUUCCCUUUAAAUCUUUCUCCACCGACCAGCGAAACAGCUCCCCCAAUGCAUAGCCACCUCGGUUUGAAGAAGAACCAGCAGCUCCAGCUCCAGCUCCAGUAGGGAUGAACGCUGUCGCGCGCCACGGCUCAAUCGAAUGUAUUUAUUUAUAUAUUAUAAUAAUAAUAUAUACUACUAUAUAUGAAAUAAAAAAACAAGAAAUUCUAAAAAAAAACCUUUUGAAUUUUUUUGAUUUUCUCGUGUAUUUUUCUACCAAUUUUACUUAAUAUUGGUUUGUAUUUUUACACGGUAAAGAUACAAAUUCAGUAUUAAAAUACUUGAUUUUCUCUGAAAUGUUGCAAAAAAAAUAUAGAGAACAAAAAAAUAUAUCUUGUUUUCAUGCAUACGACCAUGUGUCUAAAAAAUGUAAAAAAUUCAUAUCAUAUUUUCAUACAAAAAUUUCAAGAAAAAGGUAUGUGUUAGCAUGCAUUUUGAACUUUAAUAACCAAUUUAUUAAAGCGAUGAGAACUAGGCCCAUAUUUCAAAAAUACCAAAAAACUAUUUUGUUUUCUUUUAGUAUAUGAGAUUAUUUUGUUUUCUUUUAGUUCUUUUUUUAUAUAAACAUUAGAACGAUUAGGUUUUUACCUGAUAUGAUGAGGAUAUCUUUAUCGAUGAGGACUUUUCUUAAACCUUAGACAAACCAACAAUUAGAAAACACAACAAUACUUUAGUUAUAUCAGACAAUUAAACAAUAUAGCUUACCUCAGGUAAGGCAUUUUAGGGGUGUUAAUACCUUCCCUUUACGCAACCAGACCAGUUAGGGUUCGUAAUGACCAAAAUACUAGGUGACGACUGUCAUUCUCUCUUUCCACUAAUAAAGGACAAGAUUGUCCUGUCCAUUUCCCCAUCCCAUUCUCAACUCCUGGAGGACGAUUGCUGCGACACCGCACCACGUGCGACAGUAGUUUUGAAAGAUUAAUGCAAGCGGAAGAACCACAAUAUAGCUGCAAGCAUAGAAAGACAGAAAGAUAGACUGGAAUUUGUUGCGAUGUCGCAGUCGCACAAAUUAAUUACCCUAGCUUAAAACACAACACACAAGAUAGUAUAGAGCAAGCAAGGGGUCAAUCCCACGUGGAAGGUUCAAGUCAGAUUUUUAUGCUAGAUGAUAUGCAAUUUAAGGGGGUUUGGACGUUAUCUAGGCUAAAGGAAAAGAAAACAGAAAACUAUCAAGCAAAAUUAAAUAAAAUCAGAAAAUUAUCAAGAGAACAAACCUUGGUUGCAUGUAAACAUCCACCUAUGGAAAUCAGAAUUGAUCAUGGAAACGAAACAUCAAUUUAUAUUCUGAAUAUUUAUCUCUUCUUAACAUUGGUUAGUUAACGGAUCCACCGUAUAACUAACCCUAACCAUCAAACAACCAUAGUGUCCACACUAGUAAUUUAAUUCAAUGGCAGACUUAAGAACUAGAUAAGUUGAUUAAUCAAGAAAACAUAUAUAAAUGUUCGCAGUCUAUGUUUGAUUUGAUUGAAUGUUCUCCCUAAGAUUAAUAACGUAGAUCUGCCACAAUUAUUAAACUCAGUUGCUUCAGAAGUUCAUAUACCACAACUCCGGUUUUGAUAUCAAACUUAGCAAUAGAUUGUCUACAAUAAUAACUUAGAGUUCGCUCUAGCAAUUAAAAUAAACAAUCAUAGGAAAAAUAAGCAUAGGAGAACAAACAUAUUCAUCAUAUAAACUGAAAAGAAAAGGUAAAAUAAAUCUCACAAUUCUUGAAAUCCGAAGGUUUUCGUGUCCUUGCAACUAAGAAAACUAGUUUAGCCUUGCAUGUUUGUUGAACAACUAAUAAAAAAAAGGACGGAUGCAUGAUUUCAGGUUUCUUAGAGGAAGGCGGUGUUUUUCUCUUCUUCGCUGGCUGCCCCCCUACUCUUCUCUCAUUCUUUUUAUACCCUAGGAAACCCUAGUCUUUAUUUUACAAAAUAGUCCUCCUUUAAGUAGACAGUUUACAUUUAAGUACUUCAAUAACUAUUUUCCUAAAAAAAGGAGAAAUAGCCUUGCAUGAAAUCUUCAAGCUUUGACUUAGAGGAGAUAAAUUGCUGAAAUAAAAACUUGGAUGUCGGUUUAGAUGCUUUGGAACAUAAUUUGGACUCGUUUCUUCACGAAACCUAUUUGCUGGCAGAAUUCAGUUGUCAUCUUUGAAAAAUCAUAUCUCCCUAAUAUGACAUCGUUUUCUGCUACAAUUUGGUGCGUUGAUACGUCUUUUAGUCAGAAAUCGAAAAAAAUUGAGUUUGCAUCAAUUUGGACUUCUGUAGCUCCAGAUAUUCAAGUUCGAAUGGAUAAAGGUCAACAUUGGCAAAUUGCGAGAUUUGACUUUGAAGGCUGUGAUUUCCAUGCUCUUCCUUAUUUUAUUUUCUUGCCUUAUAGGUCCAGAAAGAUAUGGAUGUUAUCUUUUUAUUGUCACUAGAAUCACUUCAUUUCGACUGCUAUAGCUCACGCACUGCACAAAACAUCGACUGAAAGUCUAAUCUGCCAAUUACCUCCAAUUUACUCCUUUUUGCAUCUUUCAUCCAAAAGUGCCUUCAAAACAUAAAACAAAGAAUAUCAAGGCAUUUUAUAUAUAAAACAUAAGCAAAACACUAGUUAAAUGUGGGUGAAACUAUCGAAUAAUAUGGUUACAUCAGAAUUAUGUUAACUGUGUACUUAAAGGAGGACUAUUUUAUUUAUAAAAUAUUAAUUGGAUCAAGUCUACCUCCUAAAGAGGUUUACAAUCCCUUUUAUAGAAUAGAAAAUCAACCAAGAUUGGAAACAAAAUCAGAAUCCCAAAACAUAAUAAGAAAUAACAUAAAAUAUGAAAAGAAACAAUAAAUCUAUGAAAAUUAAGGAAAAAUAACAAAAUUAUCCCAAAUAAUAACUUAUGAGCUUGAUUUUUGGAGAUCCAAUGCUCUGAUAACUACUGAGUGGUUUUUAAUGGGAAAACAACUUGUAGAAUCUCUUGUAAAAAUUUGCACCCAAUCCUACGGUUAGAUCUCUUGUUAUCGUCAUUUUAGGCCGCUACUCUCUGGUCUUGCGUGACCAUGCUUUCUAUUGAGUCUAAACAUGUGUCACUAGUUUAUGAAAAUAUAUGUUAGACCAUCUAUAUAGUCUGUUUAGGGCAAAUACAUAAUUAAUUUGCUGUUCAAAUGCUCUAAAGCUCUUCAAGGUGUGAUUUAACUAAAUAAUUUUGAGUUUAGAAUUAUCUUCUCAUUUUGGAAUUGUCCUGAGCCACAAGGAUAAAAUGAUGAGUCGUGGGGAGCUUCUUAGAUUGUUGUCCUGCAAGCAAGAGUAUAUGACUUUACUAUAUUACUAUAAAUAGCAUAUUUGCUGUUGUAACCCAUUUUUGGGUCCCCACAAAAUAUAUAUAUAAAAAAUAUAUAUCUAGCCAAAGGAGGUUAGAAAAAUAACAGGAGGUAGAAGCGUUCAGAAAAUGGUCGGAAAAUUGGUCAAUGAGGUUAAAAAUACAAAGAUUGGAUUUUUGACAGUAUAUUCUUGAAGGAGGAGAGCCCUGUUGGAAGAAGAAAAUUUAAUUUGAAGAGAAGGCCAAAAUUGGAUAUUUAUGGACUCAAUUGGAUUUUAUUGAAGGUUUAGUUGAAUUUAUAGAGGUUUUGAUUGCAAGGAAAAUUGAUUUUUAAGUCAAUUUAGGCCUUAAUUGGAAGAAAUUUAAGUUCUGGGGCCAAAAUAUAUUUGUUAGGAAUUUAUUAGGCCAAAUCAGGGGCUUAAUUGCAUAAAUAUUGAAGUUUAAGGGCCAAUUGGGGACUUAAUUGAGAAAAUCCAAAACCAGGGACCAAAUUGGAAGAGGCGCGUAAAUGGAGGGGCUGCAAUUAAUUGAUUCAGGGGCUUAAUUGAAGAAUUUGGAAGUUUAUUGAUCAAUUAAGGGUUCAAUUGCAUAAAUCAGAGACCAAGGACUAAAGUGAAACACGCGGCCAACAAGAGGGGCAGAGACCGAAAUUGGCAGGGAUGCAAUUGAAGAAAAAAAGAUAAUUGAGGGCUGCCUUGCAAAUUGACGCGUUUUGGCGUUUUGCAGGACUUAAAUGAAACGGCGCGUUUUGCCUAAAACGACGCCGUUUCAUGUGAAAAAAAAAAAAAAAAAGACCGGAACGGUGUCGUUUUGAACGACACUGUUCAUCUUUCUUCCUCCCCUGGACGUGCAGCAGGGGAAGAAAGAAAAAUGGUGGGUUUUUUUUUUCUUCAAGUGUGCUGCCUCUCUCUUGACCGCAUGCCUUGCCAGAAAACCGAGGGAGCCGCACCUCGCCAGCCACGCCCGCUGGCCGACCACCCGCCGCGCGCCUACCCGAAAAACAGGGAGCGGAACCUCGACAGCUGCACCCAAAUGGCCGACCAACCGCCGCAGCCCUUGUUCCCCAUGUGCAACCAUAAAAAGCCCCGCCCCUUGGCUCUAUAAAUAGAGGGAAGAACACUGAAGGAGAGAAGAGAAAACAGAGGAGAGAGGGGGGAAAGAGACCCGAAAGAGAGAGAACCGAAGAGAGAAAGGAAAAGCUAAAAAGAAAGGAGAAAAAACCAAAGAGAGGAGGGAACGAAUCGAAAAGGAGAGGACCCGAAAUAUAAGAGGGGAAAGCUAGAAACGGAGGGAAAAACUUGAAAAAAACAGUAACACUGCCGUUCGGUUGAGACAGCAGCACCACUGCCGCCGUUCGUGAGCCACCGGCCUCCGCCACAGCACCGCCUCCGGCAGCAACAGUACCACCAGCUCCACCGCCUCCUCCGCGCCAGGUAAUUCUUCUUCCUCCCUUCAUUACUGCAUUUUUUUUUCGUUCCUGCAUGCAGAACGAAUAACGUUCUGCAUGCAGAAGGGUGGGGGGAAAAUAAUUCCCCCCGCCAGCGUUUGUUGCUGGGCCAGGCUGGUCCUGGCCCAGCCCAGUCUUCUGGGCCGGGUCUGGCCCAGAAGAGGAUAAUAGUAUUUGGGCCGAAAUCGGCCCAAUCCAUUUUUUGGGCCGAGAUCGGCCCAACACUUUUGGGGCUGAGUCCGGCCCAGUUGUUUGGGCCGGCCCAGCCCGAUUUAAUAUUAUAUAUUAUAUAUAUUAUAUUUUGUAUUACUUAUAUAUAUAUGUGAAAAAUUACAAAAAUUACACAAAAAAAUUAUUUAAAAAAUAUGUGAUUUUGUUGUAAUUUUAUUACAGUAUUUUGAUUAAUAUUGGUUGGUAUUUUUAUACUCUAAAGAUACAAAAUCCAGUUUUAAAAUACCCGGUUUUCAUCAAAACAUCAAAGAUUUUCAAAAUAAAAAAUGUCUUUUGCUUUCAAAAAAUUUCUAAAAAUAUCUUUAAAAAUAUUGUUGAUUUUUCUGCAUUUGUUUUAUCAAAGUGGAUUAAUAUUUGGUUGUAUUUUUAUACUGUAAGAAUACAAACCCAGUAUUAAAAUACCCGGUUUUCGUCAAGACAUAAAAAAUAAAAUAAGUUAAAAAUGUUUUGUUUUCGUGCAUACGGCCUAGUCUCUCUAACAUAUAUAUAUAAAUAUUAUAACAUCAUAUUUUCACACAACAAAAGAAAUUUCAAAAAAAAAAUAUAUGUAUUAGCAUGCAUUUUGGCUUUAAUAACCAGUUUAUUCGAGCCAUGAGAACUAGGCCAAUAUUUCAAAAAUUCUAAAAAAAUCUUUUUGUCCUCUUUUAGUACAUGGGAUUACAAAUUUAAACAUAAAAUGUUUUCCUGAUAUUAAAAAUAUAGUUUUUUCACAUAGACGUUAGAACGGUUAGGUUUUACCCGAUAAGAUAAGGACCUCCUUAUUGAGGAGGACUUUUCUUGAACCAUAGACGGACCAACAUACAUAGAUGUUAGAACGGUUAGGUUUUACCCGAUAAGAUAAGGACCUCCUUAUUGAGGAGGACUUUUCUUGAACCAUAGACGGACCAACAUACAUAGAUGUUAGAACAGUUAGGUUUUACCUGAUAAGAUAAGGACCUCCUUAUUGAGGAGGACUUUUCUUGAACCAUAGACGGACCAACAACUAGGAAACACAACGAGACCUUGAAUUUUAUCAGACAAAUAAACAAUGCAGCUUACCUUAGGUAGGGCGUAUUUGGGGUGCUAAUACCUUCCCUUUACGCAACCAGUCCCCGUGCCCAAUCUCUGAGACCAGUUAGGGUUCCUAGUGACCAAAAUACUAGGUGGCGACUCCCACACCAUUUUUCACUGCUAAGAGACAAAGAACUCCUUGUCUCACCAUAUUGACCAGAUAUAUAUCCCCCCACCAUACACAUUCGAGGGUGGACGAUCGCCGCGACGUCGCGCACGUGCGACAGAAUGGCGACUCCACUGGGGACCUUGUGGACUAAGCUUUGUUUUUGUCUGAUUUGUUUUUGUUUUUGUGUGUUUAUUGUUAAUAUGCCUUUCCUUUUGUUAUCUGCUUAUAUGCUUUAAAUAUUUUUACACAUAUUGUUCAUGCAUUUGUAUAGAACUGUCUCAUACAUCUUAUAGAACUGUCUCAUGCAUCACAUACUUUGAUUAUUGAGAGCACACGCAAACUUUAAGUUAAGUGGGGGACUAGCAGCUUACCUUACGACUGUUAGUCAAGGUUUAAGUUUGUGUAAACCCCAACUCUUCGCUGAGUGCUUAGACUGGCAAUAGUUGGUACAUGUGCCAUCUUAUUGCCUACAAGCCCCCAUAUUGCCUCCACGAGGGCAAUCACUGGGACAGCAAGAGACCUUUUUUAGAGACUGAAUAGCCAACCUACCCUCGUCAAGCACGAAAGAUUUAGAACCGGCUAUAGGGUGUAUGUUCCAUAAAGUACAUUUUGCAUAAAACAACCUAAACCAUAAAGUAUUUGGUUUUCAGGUCUUUUGAAACGAUAAGAUGGCCAUCAUUACCAAAUUUACUACUAUGGAAUAUGGGCAGAAUUCUGAAUUGUCAGAGGGAGACUGCUCUAGAUAUGAUGCGAGGAAGCUUCCAGUAGUCAAAGACCUGAAUUGCACAGUAUAUGAGAUGAAGAAAAUAUUGGGCCAUAAUCAGAACAUUGAUGAAGCGGCAUUUUGCGGGAAGUAUGGGCGAUUGUUGGAAAUUGCAAAGAUAGAAGUAUUGAACCCGGCAAUCAAAGCUUUGAUUAACUUUUGGGAUCCCGAUUACAGAUGCUUUUCCUUUGGAAAUGUGGAUUUGUGUCCCACUAUAGAGGAGUAUGGAAUGUUGACGGAAUUUCCCAAACUCCUACACAGGGUUUAUUUUCCUUUGAGAAAUGACAAGGUGAUUCCUGAGUUGUCAACAUUGUUGAAGAUUCCACAUCUGAGCAGAUUUUUAGAGAAGAAUGGUAGCGGUUUAAAGUGGAAAUUUCUGGAGGUUGAACUAGAAAAGAAAAAAGAGCAAUACGGGUCAAUGUUAGAAAGAGACAGGUUAAUCGCUCUGGGGAUCUAUGGGCUCGUAUUAUUUCCAAGCUUAAUAGGGAUUAUAAGCCUAGAAGCUGCUGCUGCAUUCGUGGAAUAUGAAAAUACUCAUGUCAACCCCACAACUGCCAUAUUAGCUGAGACCUUUCUGACCCUCAAUCAUUUUAGAAAGACGGGGAAAGGCGCAGUGCGAUGUUGUACUCAGUUGUUAUAUAUCUGGAUGGUAAGCCAUGUUGAAACCAAGAAGCCGAUCUUUAAUAAUUUUUGGUGGUUUAACCAAAAACCCUUGAAGAUAAUGGAGGAAGAAGAAUGGGGAAUCCUAGGUGAUCAAGGUUGGAUGAAAAAACUGCAAGAAUUACCUAGUAGCAACUUUAGUUGGAAGGCCCCUUGGGUUAAAUCAGUUGAUGUCAUAGUAAGUUGUGGACAAAAAUGCUGGGUACCUUUAAUUGGGAUCACAGGUUAUGUCAGCUAUGCUCCGGCUCUGGUGAUAAGACAAUUAGGUGGCAUACAACACAUCCCAAGAACUGUGGGACUUGCUGAAUUUUCCGGAUUUUUCAAGGAUCAAUCCGCGCGAGAAGUUCUUGAAACCAUCAAACAAGAUUGGAGCCAGUUGACUCUAAUUCAAAAGGAGUCGGAAAGAUUGAGAGACCCUAGCUCAAGUGAAGGAUAUGAAAAGUGGAGGAAUUUGACCCCGAUUGCCACUCCAAAAAAGCCAUGUCCUGAAGAUGGGCCUUCACGAAUGGAAGAAGGGUCAUUGAAAAGAAAAAAGGUCAGUAAUGAGGAAGACCUUAGGGAGCAAUUAGAAAGGCUCCAAAUAGAAUUGGGAAAGAGUAAGGGAGAUAAAGCAGCAUUAGAAAGGAUGAUGAUGGAAGGAGAUAAAAGCAGAGUGUUUUUAAAUGAACAGCUCGAAUCCAGAGAUGCGAAAAUAGUGAUGUUAGAGCUGCAAUUGAGCAAGGGAAAGGCUGUAAUAGAAGAGUCCGAGAAAGAAAGAGGAAGAUUGAUUUUUGAUUGUAUGCAAAGCAGUUCGGAGUUGGAAGCAUUGAAAGCCGACUUCGAUGGCUAUCGAGAGAAUGUUGAGUACAAUCAGGACAAAUUCUUGCAUGUUCAAGCAGAGUUGCUGGACCGAAUUGAGAAGUAUGAAGAGUUAAACAAGAAAUAUAUGAUGAUAGAAAGUCGGCUAGCUGAAUUGCAAGAGUUCGAAAGAAAAGGGAAGGAAGAGGAGGUUUUUAAAGCAGAUUUGGCAGCUAAGAAAAUUGAAAUUAGGACGCUGAAGUUGAAGUUUGACAAAGCACGAGAAAAGGUGAAACAGUUGACCCAAAGGUUGGAAGUUUCAGAAAAACAUAAAGAACAGAUCGACACCAACAACAAUACCUUGAAUCGGAACAACAUGUUGCUUAUAGAGAAGAUGGCCAAAGUAGAUGAGCAAAUGGAUGAAGCUGCCAUUCACGCACGGAUUAUUAGAGCCAAUGCUCGAAGGGUGGGAAGGGACAUCUUUCGUUAUCGACAAAGCUUGGCUGAGACAGAUGCCUUCUUAGAGAAGAUUGAGAAUCGAGGCCUCACUUUCCUACCAGUGGCUAGAAAUACGGAUGAAGAGGAAGAUUGAUGUAUUUUUCUUUUUAUUAUUUUGUACCCUCUUUUCAAGAGAUGUAUUAGCCAAUAUUAAUGAAAAGGGCCUUUGACCCAUCUUUUGUAAAAAAAUAUAAGCCUACCAAAGCAACAGCUUGAGCAAAACUACUCCUGAUAAGGAACGUGACAAAAGGAGUCCAUGUCCAUUACACAAGAGGAAUGUUGGCCAUCGAUCGUUUUUUUUUUGAAAAAAAAAAAAAAAAAAAAGCUCAUGCAUCCAUGCAUUGUUUCUUUAUCAUACAUUCAUUUACAUUUUUCCAUGCAUCCCAGACCGUGAAACAUAGGUCCCACAUCCAAAGUCCACAACACCCGGUCUAGAGCGAGAAUGGAGAACGAAGAGAGAGCUCACUUGGAGUCACAUUAUCAGACCGAGUUGGAGUCCGUAAAGAAUGAAGUUUCUCGGCUAACCAACUUACUUGAGCAGCUUCUAAGAGCUAAAAAUGGGGAGGGAACAUCAGCACAACAGCCUGAAGGAGCGCCAGCAGCUCACAUCCCUCAAGCAUCUCAAAACCAGGGGGCAAACUCGGCCAAUGAACAACAUUUUGUGCCUAUCACCCCUGUCCCGCCAACUCACGCUCCAAUCACUGUGGAUUUAACAACGGAGGGAGUCCCAGAAAAUAGGUCUCCCAGUGUGAUGGACCAAGACAAGCUAUUUGCUCUGGAAGAAAGAUUAAGGGUCGUUGAGGGUAAUGAUUGGUUUGACCCUAUGCGAGCAGCCGAAGUAUGUUUGGUACCAAACAUUGUGGUGCCAAAGGAUUUUCGAAUACCAGAGUUCGUUAAGUAUACCGGUUUGGAAUGCCCAAACACUCACCUGCGAUCCUAUUGUAACAAAAUGGCGGAAGUAAUCCGUGAUGAUAAGUUGCUAAUCUAUUUCUUUCAAGAUAGCCUAGCAGGAUCCGCUUUAAGCUGGUACAUGAGGUUAGACAGCAUCAGGAUCAAGAGCUGGAGAGACUUGGUGGAGGCUUUCCUCAAACAGUACAAGUUUAACAUGGAAAUCGCUCCUGAUCGAACAAGUCUAAUGGCAAUGGAGAAAAGGAGCCAGGAGUCAGUAAGGGCUUAUGCGCAAAGAUGGAGGGAUGAGGCAAUGCAUGUCCAACCCCCUUUGAUAGAAACGGAGAUGGUGAGCUUGUUUGCCAAUACCUUCAAAGCACCUUAUUAUGAGCACCUAAUGGGUAGCUCCUCUCAACAUUUUUAUGAUGCGGUACGCAUAGCUGAAAGGAUAGAACAAGGGAUUAAAGUUGGGCGAAUAGCGAUGCCAGUGGAAAAGAAGGGUUUUAUUGGAAGAAAGAGAGAAGGCGAUGUUAACAAUCUGGAAGGUGGGUACAAGGGCAAGAGAGUAGAUUUUCAUAAUCCUCAAGUACCUACCUCUCAAUUCUCACGCAUAAACUUUAACCAACCUUUUUCCCCUAAUCGAACAAAUAACCAGUCAAACUACCAAAAUCACUACCAAAGACCCCAUACAAAAUACACUUCAGAACAACUGCCACCGUUACCCAUGCCUUUGAAGGACAUGUAUGCCAAACUGUUGAGCAUUGGACAAAUAGCUCCUAUCCCUACACUACCACUACAACCACCAUUCCCAAUUUGGUACAAGCCCGAGUUGGCUUGCGAGUACCAUGGGGGUAAUCCCAGGCAUGGGAUUGAAACCUGUUACGCUUUCAAGAAGAGGCUAUUGGAGCUUAUUAAGAUGGGAUGGGUAUCCUUUGAAGACAAGCCCAAUGUUAAUUCAAACCCAUUGCCUAAGCAUGCCCCAAAUAGUAGUGGAGUAGGCAUGAUCGAAGUGGGAAAUCAAUGUAAGGUAUUGAAGGUAUCCAUGAAGAAGUUGUAUGACAUGUUGGUACAAUCAGGAUUUCUAAAGACAAAGGGGGAGAGCCGUUUGGAGGGAUAUGAUUACUGUGAAUACCAUGGAAGAGAUGGACAUCAUAUUGAGGAUUGCAUCGAGUUUUGCGAAAAGAUUGCGAAAAUGCUAAAAAUAGGGGAGUUGAGGAUUGAACCCAUGAAAAGCAGCGGUGAGGUGAGUAUGAUGGAAGGUCAAGAUGAGAUGACAGGAGUAUGUAGGAUCCAACAAACAGCUAAGGGGCCACCAAGGCUAAUCUUGGUCAAACCUUCUUGCACAAAAGGAAACCACAAUGCCAUGCAUUACAAUUACGACUAUACCUCCAACGUUCAAACUCCACUUCCCUUGUUCCAAACCGAGAUUAGUGGUUUGACUCGGAGUGGUCGUUGCUUUACGCCCGAGGAGUUGAGAAAGGCAAAGGGCAAAGAAGUGGUAGAUCUUGACAAAGCACUAGAAGUUAAUAAGCCAGUAACAGAAGAGGAGUCGAAUGAAUUCCUGAAGUUGAUCAAGCAUAGUGAAUAUUGCAUAGUAGAUCAACUAAAGAAGACUCCAGCUAGGAUCUCCCUUAUGUCCCUGAUACUCAGCUCUGAGCCACAUCGAAACGCCUUGCAGAAGGUAUUGAAUGAGGCAUAUGUACCCCAAGACAUUGAACAUAAAACCAUGGAGCAUCUAGUGGGAAGGAUCCAUGCAACUAAUUACCUGUACUUCACGGCUGAUGAGCUUGAUGCUGAAGGUACCGGACAUAACAAGCCCUUAUACAUUACGGUUAGGUGCAAGGACUGCCUCAUAGGAAAAGUACUCAUUGAUAACGGCUCGGCCCUUAACGUGUUGCCAAAGCACAUGCUGGAAGAAAUGCCGAUCGAUGAAUCCCAUAUAAAGCCAAGUACUAUGAUGGCCAGAGCGUAUGAUGGCUCGCCUAGGCCAAUAAUUGGGACUUUAGAAGUGGAGCUAUGUGUGGGACCACAAAUGUUCUUAGUAACACUUCAGGUUAUGGAUAUCCACCCUUCCUAUAGUCUGUUGUUAGGAAGACCUUGGAUUCAUGCAGCGGGGGCAGUAGCUUCGUCAUUGCAUCAAUGCCUGAAGUAUAUCAUGAAUGGGAUGUUGGUAACUGUCAAGGCUGAGGAGACAGUAUCCAUGAUAAAGAAUGUGGUUGUGCCUUUUAUCGAAGCGAAUGAUUGCAAGGAUAACAAUAUCCAUACCUUUGAGAUUGUGAACACUGACUGGGUGCCGGAGAACACAGUGCUAAGAAGGCCAAGGAUCUCAGAAGCAGCAAGGAUGGCAAGUCUAUGCUUCUUGAACCGCGGGAUCCCAUUUCAGUAUAACCUUAUUAUCGGGAUACCAGAAGGGGUUAAUCUGGCAAGGAUGAAAAGUGCUGCUCAAAGAUUUGGGUUAGGGUACCAACCUAACCAAAAGGAUUAUCGGUGGGCUGCUGGUCGGAGAAGGGCAAGAAGGAUGGCUAGAAUUAAAGGAAGAGAGCCUGAUGAAGAAAAGCUGGAAAUCCCUCCCCUUAGCGUGUCAUUCCCAAAAGCCACAUACAUAAUGCAACAUGAUAAAGGAGUUGAAAGCCUUGGUCAAGAACUGUCAAACAUGGGCAUAAAUACCUUGGGGGAAAACAAGGUGGAAGGAGAUGACAUGAAGACCGUAGCAAGAAAGGGAGAUGAAGCACUCCCACAACUGACGGUAUACACCAUAGAAGAAGUCUCCGCCAAGACCUUUGUGCGCAAGUUGGCUCAGGACGAGAAGUUUCAGAACUGGGUGACCCAAGAAGCUCCAGUGGUUUUCAAAAUGUAAACCAACUUUGUUUGCCUUAGCAUGCUUUUGUCAUUGCUUAUGUUUGCUGUUAUUUCCUCUAGUUGACAAUCGAGGCUCAUGAUGUCAGCUAGAUUUUAUGUUUGUCAUGGAGCCCACUUUUUCUUUAAAUAAAUUGUGAGAUCAUGCACUUUCCACAAAUUGCCUUCUUUUUUAUGCACCAAACACUUCCCGCUUUCAGGAAUCCUGAAAGCGGAUCUCCUACAACAUCACAUAUAUUUAGCAUCAAGAAUAAAUGGCCAAACUUGAACGAGCAUGUGAUAGCUAUGGAAGAAGAAGAAUGGGAUGAAAGCAAUAUUAGUGAAUUCACCAGGCUAGUAGAACAACAGGAACAGACUUGGAAGCCUAUCGCCGAGGAACUCGAAACCAUCAAUGUGGGUAGUGAUCAGCUCAAGAAAGAGUUGAAAAUAGGUACCUUAAUUACUUCUGAACAAAGGAUAAAAAUGAUCACCCUAUUACAAGAAUAUUCAGAUGUCUUUGCUUGGUCCUAUGAAGAUAUGCCGGGUUUGGAUACAAAUAUUGUAGUACACAAGAUACCGUUGGAAGAAGGUUGUAAGCCAGUCAAGCAGAAGCUGAGGAGGGCCCACCCAGAUGUCUGGAUCAAGGUCAAGGCAGAACUUGAGAAGCAAUGGGAUGCUGGCUUCCUAGAAGUAGUUAGAUAUCCACAAUGGGUAUCUAACGUUGUUGUGGUGCCUAAGAAGGAGGGGAAGAUUAGAGUUUGUGUGGAUUUUCGGAAUUUGAAUAGAGCUAGCCCUAAGGAUGAUUUUCCCCUACCACACAUAGAUGUUUUAGUGGAUAACACUGCCCGGAGUUCCACUUAUUCCUUUAUGGAUGGUUUUUCAGGAUACAACCAGAUAAAAAUGGCUCCGGAGGAUAAGGCGAAAACAACUUUUGUCACACCUUGGGGGACGUUCUGCUACAAGGUCAUGCCAUUUGGAUUGAAGAAUGCAGGAGCAACCUAUCAAAGAGCAAUGGUGACUUUGUUCCACGACAUGAUACACAAGGAAAUUGAGGUGUAUGUAGACGACAUGAUUGCCAAGUCUGAAAGGGGAGAGGAUCAUGUUGAAGUUUUGAGGAAGUUGUUUGAGAGGUUGAGGAAGUAUGAACUAAGGCUUAAUCCUGCAAAAUGUUCAUUCGGAGUUAAAUCGGGCAAGCUGUUAGGAUUUGUGGUAAGUGAUAGGGGUAUAGAGGUGGAUCCAGAUAAAGUAAGGGCCAUCCAAGCUAUGUCAUCCCCUAAGACGGAGAAAGAAGUAAGAGGAUUCUUGGGAAGGUUAAACUACAUUGCUCGGUUUAUAGCUCAGCUAACAACGACGUGUGAACCUAUAUUCCGACUACUAAGGAAAAAGAAUCCUGGAACCUGGAAUGAGGAGUGCGAGGAGGCAUUCAGUAAAAUCAAGCAAUAUUUACAAAAUCCACCUUUACUGGUUCCUCCGGUAUCAGGAAAACCUCUAGUACUAUAUCUAAUAGUAACUGAAGCAGCCAUGGGAUGUGUAUUGGGUCAGCAUGAUGAAACCGGAAGGAAGGAAAGAGCUAUUUAUUAUCUAAGCAAGAAAUUCACUGAAUGUGAGUCUAGAUACACGGAGAUAGAAAGGCUUUGUUGUGCGUUGGUGUGGGCGGCAAAGAGGUUGCGGCAUUAUAUGUUAUACUAUACCACUUGGUUGAUUUCAAAAGUGGAUCCUCUGAGGUACAUUUGUAACAAGCCAUUUCUCUCAAGUCGAAUUGCAAGGUGGCAAGUUCUAUUAGCAGAAUAUGACAUAGUAUACAUGACAAGGAAAGCCGUAAAAGGAAGUGCAAUCGCGGACCAUCUGGCCGAUAAUGCUGUUGAAGAUUACGAACCUUUGGAUUUUGACUUCCCCGAUGAAGAUAUAUUGUCAAUAGAGAAAGAAGAAGAAAAGACAGAUUGGUGGACGAUGUUUUUUGACGGUGCAGUGAAUGUAUAUGGUAACGGGGCCGGUGCGGUAAUAAUCUCUCCUGAUAAGAAACAGUAUCCAGUUUCGGUUAAACUACAUUUCGAGUGCACCAACAAUACAGCUGAGUAUGAAGCUUGUAUCCUCGGUUUAGAAGCGGCAUUAGAGUUGAAGAUAAAGAAGUUAGAUGUAUAUGGAGAUUCAAUGUUGAUUAUCUGUCAGGUUAAAGGGGAAUGGCAGACCAAGGAGGAAAAGUUGAGGCCGUACCAGGAAUACCUAUCCACGCUAGCAAAGGAAUUUGAAGAAAUUAGAUUCACUCAUUUGGGAAGGGAGGGGAACCAUUUCGCGGAUGCUUUGGCCACGCUAGCUGCUAUGACUACCAUUGAUCUCAAGUGCAAGAUACAACCGGUACACAUUGACAUUAGAAAUGACCCAGCUCACUGUUGCUUAGUUGAAGGAGAGAUAGACGGACAUCCUUGGUAUUAUGAUAUCAAGAACCUUGUGCAAAAUCACGAAUAUCCGGUGGGAGCUUCCAAAACGGAUAAGAAAACUUUGAGAAGGUUGGCUAUAGACUUCUAUUUAGAUGGAGAGAUUUUGUACAAAAGAUCAUUUGAUGGGACCCUACUAAGGUGUUUGAAUGAGGCAGAUGCUAGAAAGGCAUUACGGGAGGUCCAUGAGGGGAUUUGCUCAACCCAUGCUAGCGGGCAUAUGAUAGCGAGGAAAAUCCAAAGGGCUGGUUAUUUUUGGAUGACACUAGAGAAAGACUGUAUCGAUUAUGUCAGGAAAUGUCAUAAAUGUCAAGUUUACAGUGACAAGGUCAAUAUGCCACCAGCUCCUCUAUUUAAUCUAAUAUCCCCUUGGCCAUUUGCAAUGUGGGGAAUUGACGUGAUCGGGCCUGUUAACCCAAAAGCUAGCAAUGGUCAUAGAUUCAUCCUCGUAGCUAUUGACUACUUCACAAAAUGGGUAGAAGCUAGUUCAUAUGCCCACGUAACACAGAACGUAGUGAAGAGGUUUAUAGAGAAGGACUUGAUUUGUCGAUAUGGUCCACCUGAAAAGAUAGUGACAGAUAAUGCACAGAAUUUCAAUGGCAAAAUGAUAGCGGAGCUGUGUACUAAAUGGAAAAUCAAGCAUUCGAAUUCUUCACCAUACCGACCAAAGAUGAAUGGCGCAGUAGAAGCCGCCAACAAGAACAUCAAGAAGAUUAUUCAGAAAAUGGUAGUCACAUAUAGAGAUUGGCAUGAGAUGUUAUCAUUCGCUCUUCACGCAUACCGCACUACAGUCAGGACCUCGACAGGGACUACCCCAUAUUCUCUGGUAUACGGUAUGGAGGCAGUGAUGCCGUUGGAAGUGGAAAUCCCAUCGUUAAGAGUAUUAAUGGAUUCCGAACUAGAAGAGGCUGAAUGGGCCAAGGUGAGAUAUGAGCAACUGAACUUGAUCAGCGAAAAGAGGAUAGCUGCAAUAUGUCAUCACCAACUUUACCAGAAACGAAUGGCCAAGGCAUAUGAUAAGAAGGUUAGACCGCGAUUGUUUCGAGAAGGGGAUCUAGUAUUGAAGAAAAUAUUGUCACUACCUGGAGACGAUCAAAGCAAAUGGGCACCGAAUUACGAGAGUCCUUACGUAGUAAAGAAGGCAUUCUCAGGAGGAGCGCUGAAGUUAGCUAGAAUGGAUGGAGAAGACCUAGUUCGACCUGUGAAUUCUGACUCUGUAAAAAGAUAUUAUGCUUGAUGUAGACUCCUAAAUCAAUAAAGCAAAGUUUGGCCAUUGACUUCUUUCUCUUUUGCAUUGAUCUCCCAACAAUCAUUUUUUUGCAUUAAUCCCAACAGUGCAUGUCUUGUUAUCGCACCUAAAAAGUUUAGCAUCGGCUGAACGAAUUUCUUCUCUAUACAAAAGCCCAGACUAGGAGCACACCCCUACACUGGGGGGCAAUACGAGAUGUUUUCAUGAAAAGCUUUACGUGUUUAAAAUGUACGUAAGCCUAUAGAUUUGAAAACCAAGCUAGAGUAUUUGACAAAAGCAUGACAAAGAGGCAAUGACAAGUUAUACAUUUUGGAAAAAGGACCACUUGAAGAAUAUGAUAGGAGGCAACACGAGAGAGGAAUCCAACAUACGAUUUCAAAAAGCAAGCUUAUGUUAAGAGGGAGUCUCAUGAACUAGCAGAAGAGGAUGGGGCCUAUGUUUCAAAACCAGGUACGAAUGCAUGCAUGGCAUCUAAUCAUAAAUCAUUGCAUAUAUGUUUUUUCUGGAUCGUUACAGGAGGAGACCUUAAUGCAUUCCAACAAGAUUGGAGACGAAGAAAGAAUCAUAGAGGAUGAUAGCAAAGAAUCACGGUUUUGAACCAUAGUGGAUUAUGGAACAACGAGAAGAACAAGAAAAAGAGAGAAUGAAAAGUUUUGAACCCUGUCAUCAGGAAGAACGACAUCGAUAUCAGCUUUGGUAGUAAGGAAUCGCCAGAUGGGAUUCCAAGUUGUUUGAGAUCGCCAGAAAGGAUCUCGUGUUUCGCUAAUUGGAGGUCGCCAGAUGGGACCUCGUGUUACCUGUUGAACAAAAGGAAUCGCCAGAUGGGAUUCCAAGUUGAAUAAAGGAGAUCGCCAGAAGGGAUCUCGUGUUUCACUAUUUGGAGGUCGCCAGAUGGGACCUCGUAUUACCUUUUGAAUAAAAGGAAUCGCCAGAUGGGAUUCCAAGUUUGAGGAGAUCGCCAGAAGGGAUCUCGUAUUUCGCUAUUUGAAGGUCGCUAGAUGGGACCUCAUAUUUCAUGUUUGAACAAAAGGAAUCGCCAGAUGGGAUUCCAAGUUGAUUAAAAGAGAUCGCCAGAAGGGAUCUCGGGUUUCGCUAUUUGGAGGUCGCCAGAUGGGACCUCGUUUUUCAUGUUGAUUAAAAAAAGGAAUCGCCAGAUGGGAUUCCAAGUUGAGGAGGAUUGCUGUAAAAGACAAGUUUCAGAUCAAUCAAGCUUCAACCAAACCAGUUUCGGGAGUUCCGUUUUGGGUUUAUCUUUAUAAAACUUAUUGCGCAAAACCUCUGCUCCGUAAGCAUUAUAAAGAGGGGGCAUCUGUUGUAACCCAUUUUUGGGUCCCCACAAAAUAUAUAUAUAAAAAAUAUAUAUCUAGCCAAAGGAGGUUAGAAAAAUAACAGGAGGUAGAAGCGUUCAGAAAAUGGUCGGAAAAUUGGUCAAUGAGGUUAAAAAUACAAAGAUUGGAUUUUUGACAGUAUAUUCUUGAAGGAGGAGAGCCCUGUUGGAAGAAGAAAAUUUAAUUUGAAGAGAAGGCCAAAAUUGGAUAUUUAUGGACUCAAUUGGAUUUUAUUGAAGGUUUAGUUGAAUUUAUAGAGGUUUUGAUUGCAAGGAAAAUUGAUUUUUAAGUCAAUUUAGGCCUUAAUUGGAAGAAAUUUAAGUUCUGGGGCCAAAAUAUAUUUUUUAGGAAUUUAUUAGGCCAAAUCAGGGGCUUAAUUGCAUAAAUAUUGAAGUUUAAGGGCCAAUUGGGGACUUAAUUGAGAAAAUCCAAAACCAGGGACCAAAUUGGAAGAGGCGCGUAAAUGGAGGGGCUGCAAUUAAUUGAUUCAGGGGCUUAAUUGAAGAAUUUGGAAGUUUAUUGAUCAAUUAAGGGUUCAAUUGCAUAAAUCAGAGACCAAGGACUAAAGUGAAACACGCGGCCAACAAGAGGGGCAGAGACCGAAAUUGGCAGGGAUGCAAUUGAAGAAAAAAAGAUAAUUGAGGGCUGCCUUGCAAAUUGACGCGUUUUGGCGUUUUGCAGGACUUAAAUGAAACGGCGCGUUUUGCCUAAAACGACGUCGUUUCAUGUGGAAAAAAAAAAAAAAAAGACCGGAACGGUGUCGUUUUGAACGACACUGUUCCUCUUUCUUCCUCCCCUGGACGUGCAGCAGGGGAAGAAAGAAAAAUGGUGGGUUUUUUUUUUCUUCAAGUGUGCUGCCUCUCUCUUGACCGCAUGCCUUGCCAGAAAACCGAGGGAGCCGCACCUCGCCAGCCACGCCCGCUGGCCGACCACCCGCCGCGCGCCUACCCGAAAAACAGGGAGCGGAACCUCGACAGCUGCACCCAAAUGGCCGACCAACCGCCGCAGCCCUUGUUCCCCAUGUGCAACCAUAAAAAGCCCCGCCCCUUGGCUCUAUAAAUAGAGGGAAGAACACUGAAGGAGAGAAGAGAAAACAGAGGAGAGAGGGGGGAAAGAGACCCGAAAGAGAGAGAACCGAAGAGAGAAAGGAAAAGCUAAAAAGAAAGGAGAAAAAACCAAAGAGAGGAGGGAACGAAUCGAAAAGGAGAGGACCCGAAAUAUAAGAGGGGAAAGCUAGAAACGGAGGGAAAAACUUGAAAAAAACAGUAACACUGCCGUUCGGUUGAGACAGCAGCACCACUGCCGCCGUUCGUGAGCCACCGGCCUCCGCCACAGCACCGCCUCCGGCAGCAACAGUACCACCAGCUCCACCGCCUCCUCCGCGCCAGGUAAUUCUUCUUCCUCCCUUCAUUACUGCAUUUUUUUUUUCGUUCCUGCAUGCAGAACGAAUAACGUUCUGCAUGCAGAAGGGUGGGGGGAAAAUAAUUCCCCCCGCCAGCGUUUGUUGCUGGGCCAGGCUGGUCCUGGCCCAGCCCAGUCUUCUGGGCCGGGUCUGGCCCAGAAGAGGAUAAUAGUAUUUGGGCCGAAAUCGGCCCAAUCCAUUUUUUGGGCCGAGAUCGGCCCAACACUUUUGGGGCUGAGUCCGGCCCAGUUGUUUGGGCCGGCCCAGCCCGAUUUAAUAUUAUAUAUUAUAUAUAUUAUAUUUUGUAUUACUUAUAUAUAUAUGUGAAAAAUUACAAAAAUUACACAAAAAAAUUAUUUAAAAAAUAUGUGAUUUUGUUGUAAUUUUAUUACAGUAUUUUGAUUAAUAUUGGUUGGUAUUUUUAUACUCUAAAGAUACAAAAUCCAGUUUUAAAAUACCCGGUUUUCAUCAAAACAUCAAAGAUUUUCAAAAUAAAAAAUGUCUUUUGCUUUCAAAAAAUUUCUAAAAAUAUCUUUAAAAAUAUUGUUGAUUUUUCUGCAUUUGUUUUAUCAAAGUGGAUUAAUAUUUGGUUGUAUUUUUAUACUGUAAGAAUACAAACCCAGUAUUAAAAUACCCGGUUUUCGUCAAGACAUAAAAAAUAAAAUAAGUUAAAAAUGUUUUGUUUUCGUGCAUACGGCCUAGUCUCUCUAACAUAUAUAUAUAAAUAUUAUAACAUCAUAUUUUCACACAACAAAAGAAAUUUCAAAAAAAAAAUAUAUGUAUUAGCAUGCAUUUUGGCUUUAAUAACCAGUUUAUUCGAGCCAUGAGAACUAGGCCAAUAUUUCAAAAAUUCUAAAAAAAUCUUUUUGUCCUCUUUUAGUACAUGGGAUUACAAAUUUAAACAUAAAAUGUUUUCCUGAUAUUAAAAAUAUAGUUUUUUCACAUAGACGUUAGAACGGUUAGGUUUUACCCGAUAAGAUAAGGACCUCCUUAUUGAGGAGGACUUUUCUUGAACCAUAGACGGACCAACAUACAUAGAUGUUAGAACGGUUAGGUUUUACCCGAUAAGAUAAGGACCUCCUUAUUGAGGAGGACUUUUCUUGAACCAUAGACGGACCAACAUACAUAGAUGUUAGAACAGUUAGGUUUUACCUGAUAAGAUAAGGACCUCCUUAUUGAGGAGGACUUUUCUUGAACCAUAGACGGACCAACAACUAGGAAACACAACGAGACCUUGAAUUUUAUCAGACAAAUAAACAAUGCAGCUUACCUUAGGUAGGGCGUAUUUGGGGUGGUAAUACCUUCCCUUUACGCAACCAGUCCCCGUGCCCAAUCUCUGAGACCAGUUAGGGUUCCUAGUGACCAAAAUACUAGGUGGCGACUCCCACACCAUUUUUCACUGCUAAGAGACAAAGAACUCCUUGUCUCACCAUAUUGACCAGAUAUAUAUCCCCCCACCAUACACAUUCGAGGGUGGACGAUCGCCGCGACGUCGCGCACGUGCGACAUUUGCUUUGCUAUUGGCUUAUGCUUAAAUAGAUUGCAGGAAUCGAAACAUGAGGUAAGCUACAUUGUGUGGUUUGAAAGUGGUUGAAAGGCUUUGAUAGGUUCCUAAAUAGUGGUAUAUCUAUGGCUUAAGAUGAGGAUUUAUUCAUGUAAAUAAAUCAGUUUUUUUUAAUUUAUUAUGGGCUCGUAUGCCCAAAUGAAUUCUUAUGAAAAGUAUCCAUAUAGGUGUCCUAACAAGGUUCACCUAUCUUGGAAGGUAGAAGGGUUUUUUCACAACUUGUGUAUUGUGAUGAAAAAUACUUCCAAUUAAAAUUGGUGAAUAUUUAAAAUAGUUAUGAGAAUUUUCUGGUCAACUCCUGAUAUUUAAAUACCAGCCUAUUUGUAGGUCCAACAUUUAUACCAGAAAAUUGACCAUCAAUUCUCAUGAAUUCAAUAAAUCAGUUAUUAAAUCCAAAAUGCAUGCAAAUAUAUAUAUAUAUAUUUGAAUUGUGUAUAAAAAUACUAAAACACACCAUGUAUUUUAUUUUUUAAGCUAGAUAUUAUUAUUUAUUUUUGAGAGACUUGGAUGUAUGGUAUUUAAAAUAAGAUUGUAUUUUUGAAAGAAGAGAUUUUUUGUUGUUUUUGUAAAAGGUAAAAUGAUUCGUUUGAAACACUCAAAAUGCCUCGCAUGUAGGUCACAAUUCCAAAUAUUAAAAUGGUAAGAAAAUAUGGCGAACUCAAAAUUAAUUACAAGAUGAUCUUCCAAGGAUUUUGAAAAUGGAUGAAGACAUUGUUUAAUAAAACACAAGUUAAUUAAUUUUAUCAAGGCUAUUUUUACCAUGAUAUUAAUUCAAAACAAAAUAUCAUUCAUUAACUUGAAGCCGAGCAACACCAAAAAUCCACUUGAAUCUUAUUAAUUUCACAAACUUUGUUCAAAUUGCAUAUUAAUCCAAACAAAUCAACAUAAACCCAAACAUAAUUCAUGCAUCAAUAUAUAUUUAAUGUCCAAAAAACAAUAACAAUCUAAAAAUAAAGUUAUAAUUCACCACAAAUAUUCAAAUUAUUUCAAAAAUCAAUGACACACAUCAAUCCAAAUUAAAAGUGUUCAACAAUCCGGAAAAAAACACAAUAAUAAGCAUUUUUUCCCAAAAUUUCACAACAUUAUAGCAAUUUGUCCAAAAAAAUAUUUUAAGGUUAUGAAUCGACAUUUCUUGGUGUUUAAUGUGUCAAGGUAUAUUGCAAUAGACACUAGAAGAUCACUAGAAUAAGUGGCAGCGCGUGUACCACAUGACACUACCACUUUCGGCGCGUGGACGCGCCACUACCGGUGGAAGAGCAUGUGCUGUUGGAUCUGAAACAGGUCUUCUCUUUGCUCUUAGUUGAGAAUAAUUGGGAGGCUUAACCUAAUGAUUAGCCAACCCUUUCUAUAUAUAUAUGUAGGGCAAUAUACAAUAGUAAUGGUGGAGGUUACCACACAAGAGUAUGUCUACAAUAUUUCCUAUAUACAAUAUUUCCUAUAUAAGUACAAUUUAUAAUAUGCCCCCUCAAGCUGGGGGUGGAGGAUCAACCCGAAGCUUGAAACGAAAAGCAGUAAACGAAGAAGUAGGAAGUGGCUUAGUGAAGACAUCGGCAAAUUGAUCCUAGGAGGAAAUAAAACGAAUCUGAAUCUCCUUCUUUGCAACUCUAUCUCGGACAAAAUGAUAAUCGACCUCAACAUGUUUUGUGCAAGCAUGAAAAACAGGAUUCGCAGACAAAUAAGUGGCACCAAGGUUGUCACACCAGAUAAUAGGAGCAGAAGCAGACAAAAUCUGGAGAUCUGUUAAUAAGUACUGAAGCCAGAUAACCUCAACAAUGCCAUCAGCUAAGGCUUUGUACUCAGCUUCAGUAGAAGAGCGAGCAAUUGUGCGUUGCUUACCGGAUUUCCACGAAAUCGGCGUCUGACCAAAAAACACAAGGUAACCACCCGUAGAUUUAUUGUCCUCAACACUACCUGCCCAAUCUGCAUAUGUAAAACCAUGUAAGGCAAAAGAAGAACUGCGAGUAAUAUGUAAGCCAUGUGAUGUCGUACCCCGAAGAUAACGCAAGAUGCGUUUCACGGCAGCCCAAUGAGAAUCUGUAGGAGCAUGCAUAAACUAACAGACUCUGUUAACAGCAAAGCAAAUAUCUGGGCGCGUAAAAGUGAGAUACUGAAGAGCACCCAUAAUUUGACGAAAGAGGGUAGCAUCAGAAAACAAUGGAUCGGGCAUAAUGGUAGCUUUGGAUGUAGAGAUAGGAGUAUCAACAGGUUUGCAAGAUAACAUACCAGCCCGAGUGAGGAUGUCAAGUAUAUAUUUAUGCUGGCGGAGCAUAAGACCCAUACUAGUAGACUGAACCUCAAUACCCAAAAAAUAAUGAACAGAACCCAAGUCGCGAAGCUUAAAUUCUGAGCUCAUUAGCUGAAUGAGGCGUUGGAGCAGAAAAGAGUUACUACCCGUAAGCAGAAAAUCAUCAACGUAGACCAGAAGAUAACAAAUAUCAACACCAACAGAGAAGAUAAACAAUGAGGUAUCCACCUUAGAGGCACGAAAACCAAUAGAUAACAGGAAAUCAUUCAGACGAGUGUACCAAGCCCGCGGAGCCUGUUUUAAACCAUAUAGAGAUUUAUGCCAUCGGCACACAUGAGAGGGGAGAGCAGAAUCAACAAAACCUGGAGAUUGUUUCAUGUAGACCUCCUCAUCAAGAACACCAUUGAGGAAGGCAUUAUGGAUGUCAAGCUGAUGAAUUUUCCAACCACACGAAACUGCAAUGGAGAAGACUAAUCUGAUGGUCGCCUGUUUGAUGACUGGACUAAAGGUUUCAGAGUAAUCAAUACCUUCUUGCUGAGUGAAACCUUUAGCAACCAUACACGCCUUAUACCUCUCGAUGCUUCCAUCAGAUCUGCGUUUAAUCUUGUAUACCCACCGACUACCAACAACAUUCAUGGAGGGGUGAAACGACACUAAGGUCCAAGUUAUGUUUGCGCGUAAGGCCUGAAUUUCCUCACGCAUAGCACUAUGCCACUCCUCAUAUUUGUUAGCAUCAUUAAAAACAAGUGGCUCACGAGAGGGAGGAGAAACUACCCGGCUGAAGGAGACAGCAGAGGUUGCGGCAGUGGCUGUGGACAACGCUGUCUUGGGCUGCCUUGGACGAAGAACCAUGGGAUGUUGACGAGCAGCUGGGCAUGGAGAAGUGUGACCUGUACCUGGAAGAUGCUGAAGAGGAUAUGAGGAGAGGUCUACACAGAGCUGCAGACCAGCUGAAGCAGUGGAGGGACUGGUCUGCACUGUAGACACUGGUGAGGCUGCUGCAGAACUGGGAUGAUCUGCUGCAGAACCUGGCUGCUCUGUUGCAGCAGACCUGAGAACAUGUGCAUCCGGUGAUGGAGAACCUGUUCCUGCAUAAUGAUCAUUGGAAAGACAAGCAUAUGGUGACAGUAUGGCAAUGUGGGAUGGUGAUGAAGGGGUGGUAGAAUCUAUAGGCAAAAGGGUAGGCUGGUAGGGUGCGGCAGAGGGUAGAAUUGGGUUGUGGUUGGGGCCGGUUUGGUAAGUAGUAGGCUGAAAGGAUGGAGGAGGGUUCAAGGAUGGAAGAUAGGUAGGUGGGGUGGGAGGUACCGGUGAGGAUGUUACCUGUUCAGACUUCAUAAAAGGAAAGAUAUUUUCAUGAAAACGAACAUGACGGGAGACAUAAAUACGAUCAGACUUUAAGUCAAGACAACGAUAACCAAGAUGAGAUGAGCUAUAACCUAAAAACACACAAGGAGAAGACCGGAAAUCUAAUUUAUAAGCAUGAUAUGGACGCAAAAAGAGAAAACAAAGACACCCAAAAGUAUGUAGAAAGUUAUAAUCAGGAGUGCGUCGAAACAGACACUCAAACGGAGAUGUAUUUUGGAGAACAAGAGUAGGCAUGCGAUUAAUAAGGUAGACUGAUGAUUCAAAAGCAUAGUUCCAAAAUCGCAAUGGGGCACUACACUGGCCUAAAAAGUUUAGGCCAGUUUCGACUAUAUAUUGAUGACGACAUUCAACAGUGCCAUUUUGUUCAUGAGUAUGAGGACAAAUUAACCUAUGAUGAAUACAAAUGGUCUGAAAAAUUUUAUUUAAUUUACGAUAUUCACCGCCCUAAUCAGUUUGAACAGAUUUAAUUUUAAGAGAAAACUGACGCUCAACAAGUGUUUGAAAACGUUGAAAAGUGGAAAAAACAUCAGAUUUCGCAACAAGCGGAUAAUACCAUAUAUGUUUGGUAUGCGCAUCGACAAAAAUAACAAAAUAGAGGAAGCCAUCAGAAGAAAACAUAGGGGUAGGACCCCAAACAUCACUAAAAAUUAAUUCAAGUGGGGCAGAAGUUUUGUGAGCCGUAGGUCGUAAUGACAAACGGGACGACUUUUCUAAAGGACAAGCUUGACACUGAGUAAGAGAACAUUUAGAAGUACAUACGAUUUUAUUGCUGGAAACUAAUAAAUUGAAAAUGCGAGGGGUUGGAUGACCCAAACGACGAUGCCACAGGUCGGCUGUCGCAAAGAUGCAAGGAGACCGAAAAGCUUGAGGAAUUGACGUGGCAGAAGACUCGGAGAGGACAAAAGGCCAUCAUGACUCUGACCGGAAAGGAGAACUUCCUUGGUGACGAGAUCCUUCACAUAAAACAUAGAAGUGUGAAAUUUAAAAUAAACAUGAUUAUCACGAUAGAAUUUUUGAACAGAUAACAACAGUUUGGUAAUGUGAGGCACAUGGAGAACAUUAGAUAAUGUAAACAUGCGUUUUGGGGAAAGUAAUUUAGUAUGUCCAAUAUGGGAUAUGUCAAGGCCCUUACCGUCACCAACAUGCAAAUAAUCAUUACCAAGAUAGGGUGCAGAAUCGGUCAGAGUUCCAAGAUCAGGUGUGACGUGUUGAUUCGCGCCGGUGUCGGGGAACCAAGUCGCACCAGAGAUAUUCCCAACAGCAAGAUGAGUAGAGGGCUGCUAAGAGCUGCUACAAAACUGGGAACAAUGGGGAGCUGUGUGCCCAAAACUGGAGCACAAUUGGCAGCGUACAUGCUGCUGUCCAGACCACUGCCCAGCAUUGGAAUUGCGCCUAGUUUGCUGCCAGUUGUUUGGCCGCCAAUCUGCAGCAGAGUGGCCCCUAUUCUGGGGAGUGGAACGGUUGUUGUGGGGACGCCAAUUACCUCUAGAGCGACCCCUGUUGCAGCUGAAGUUGCGGUUGUGAUGAGACAUAGCAUGGUGUGCAGAAAACUAUGGUGUUGGCAGCAGAGAAGAAGAAGACAACAGAGAGGGAGCGACAGUCAUGGAAUGGUAAGAGUUCUUGUGCAGAAAUUCAUGGGUAAGAAGGUGGCUGUGAAGAUCAGCGUAGGAUAGCGGUUCUGCCUUGGUUAUGAGACUCGUUACCAAGUCUUUGAACUCACCACGAAGGCCACGAAACACAUAAAGAUUGAAAUCUUCAAGAGACAUGGGGCGACCAGCAGUAGCCAAUUCGUCAAAUAACGAUUUGGCUUGCUGCAUGUAUAGACUAACCAAUGAGUCACCUUGCCGAAGGUCUUGAAAGGAGUCAUGGAGUUGCAUGAUGCAAGAAUUAGACGGAGAGGCAAGCGCUUUCUCAAGAGUGCGCCAAACACAAUGCGAAGUAGAACAAUCUACCACGAGAUGCAACACAUCCACGGAGAGAGAGGAGAGCAAAGCACUCAAAAUAAGUUGAUCCUGUUGCUUCCAACAAAGAAAAGAAGGGCUGAUGAUAGAGGAAGAACCAGCAGAGCUGUCAAAAAUAUGAGAUGGAGGACACGGCACUAAGCCGUCAACAAAGUGAAAAACACCUUGACCAAGGAGAUAUGGCUUCAUCUGCAUUCUCCAAUAGAGAUAAUUUGUGUUCGUAAGUUUUAGCGAAACAACUUGGUGAGUGUUCGCUAAAGGAACAAUAGUUGUAGUGUGGGUUCCCAUGAGAGGUAAAGGAACGGCAGGGACUUGGAAGGAAGAAUCAGAGACAAGCUCUGCAAGUAGAGGCUGCUGUGGGGAAGAAAAGGCACCAGUGGCAGCAGCAUGGGGAUGGUUGGCCGACUGUGCUGCACCACCUGUGGAGAGGGAGAAGUCGGCAGCAGCAGUAGAAUCCAUGUAGAGAAAGUAAAGAGAGGGUCGGCUGCAAAGGGAGGAAGGGAGAAAAGAGUUUGACGGCAGAAAGCUCUGAUACCAAGUUGAGAAUAAUUGGGAGGCUUAACCUAAUGGUUAGCCAACCCUUUCUAUAUAUAUAUAUAUAUAGGGCAAUAUACAAUAGUAAUGGUGGAGGUUACCACACAAGAGUAUGUCUACAAUAUUUCCUAUAUACAAUAUUUCCUAUAUAAGUACAUUCUAUAAUACUCUUAGACUGACAGUGAGACAAACGGAUGUCUAAAGGUAGAGAUCUGCUCGAUCAAAGGUCAAUCCUCUUCUCUUUUAUUCUUCUCUCUUUCAGCUCUCUCUACCGUUUCUAAACAUUCUGAAGAGACCUGGUGUUCACGGUGGGGUUUUUGGUUACAUGGAGAAGCUAUUGGGAUAGUUGUGACGAGUUGCUCAGCUGCGAUGAUGCGUGGCAGAAAAUGACAUCAACAACUGGUAGUAUGUGAUGAGCAGAACCUGGUUUUCAAUUUCAAUUUAAUGAAUCAAUGAUCAUUGAUUAGAUUGAUACCAUUUCCCAUUCUUCAAGUUCCCCUACAAUCUCCAUUAUUUGUAAUUAAAAAACUUCAAUACGGAAAAGUGGUGAUGUAUACAAGUUUGAAAAAACUUUCAUUAAAAGAAUGAUAACUUAAGUGUUUUUGUAUAACUUCUUAGACAAGGAUGAAAUACAUUGAGCAAUUGCAUACAAGUGGAUUUGUCAAAGCAUGAAAGCCGUUCAAAAGAGAGCCGUUCAGAUGGAAUUACCGGAUUUAUUGGUAACUGAGGAAGGAUAACCAAAUUUAUGGGUAAUUAUAUGAGCCGUUCAGAUGUGUAGUAUGUAAUGGAUGUAUUAUAUAUUUGUAUAGAUGUUAGUAUGGCUAAAUCAUUUUCAAAAUGAUAAGAUAAGUUUAUAAUAUAAAGUAAUAGAAUACAUUAGAUGUUUUAAGACAAUAUGACUCUUAAUCUAAAUAUUGUAUUCAUGUAGUCUAAAUGCAUAUAUGUAGUUAGUUUGCAUUUAUUACUCUUUAGUGAUGAAAUUGUUUGUCUUUCAAUUUGUUUUAGUAAUUCUUUUAUGUUGACUUAUUAAUUGAUAUUAUGAGACUUGAAUAUAAUAAUAAGUAUAAGUUUUGAGAGAUUGAUUGAUGAAUGGGAUGUGAUUCAGGAUGAUUGGAUUAAGAUGGAAGUUGUAAUGACAUAUAAUAGAAGUGUUGUCGAUAAAUUGGCACCAACAAAAAUAGAGGAAACUUUGGCGAACUUUUCAAAAAAAAUUUAAAAAUCUAUAAUCUUAGACAAAUUAUUCAAUACUUAACAUUCGUAAAGAAACGUUUAAGAUUUCAUGACAUUAUAAUUUGAGGAUGUUAUAGUUUGGUACUAAGACAAACCAUGCAUUUUAUUUUUUAAGUAAGAUAUGUUUUAUUUUUAUUUUUGGGAGACUUGGUCGUAUGUUAUUUAAAAUAAAAUUGUAUUUUUGAAAGAAGAGAUUUUUUUGUUGUUUUUGUAAAAGGUAAAACGAUUCGUUUAACAUCCAAGAAGCAUCUCGUGUGUAAGUCACGAUUUUAAAUACUAAAUACGUGAUGAUUGGAAAAUAUGGGGAACUCAAAAUUAAUUGCAAGAUGAUCUUCUAAAGAUUUUGAAAAUGGAUGAAGACCGUGUUUAGUAAAACACAUAUAAAUUAUUUUUAUCAAGGCUAUUUUAACCACGAUAUUAAUUUAAAACAAAAUAUCGUUCAUCAACUUGAAACGAGCAACACCAAAAAUCCACACGAAUCUUAUUAAUUUCACAAACUUUGUUCAAACUGCGUAUUAAUUCAAAGAAAUUAACACAAACCCAAACAUAACUCAUGCAUCAAUAUUUAAUGUCCAAAAAAUAAUCACAAUCUAAUAAUAAACUCAUAACUCACCACAAAUACUCAAAUCACCUCAAAAUCAAUAAUACACAUCAAACCAAAUUAAAAGUGUCUAACGGUCAAGAAAAAAUACACAUUAAUAAGCAUUUCCCUUAAAAUUUCACAACAUUAUAGCAAUUGUCUGAAACAAUAUUAGUAAUUAAAAAACUUCAAUAUAGAAAAGUGGUGAUGUAUACAAGUGGAUUUGUCUAAGCAUGAAAGCCGUUCAAGAGAGAAGGAGUUACCAAUAUAUAUUCCUUUCUCAUCUCUCAAAUAUAUAUAUUUCUUAUCACUUUAUUCAUGAACUCUUGAUUAAUCCGAAUUCUAUGUCAUAUGCGUAAUCUAAUUUUGAAAUGAAAUAUUCUUUCGCAUGAACCGGCUAUAAUAUUCAUGUAAAAAAGCAUCAGACAAUAUCUUACCUGCCUUGCCACCGCCAGGACCUUAAAUCCAGACCUUUGCCUACCGCAUUAAUUGACAAGAAUAUUUCAAGCAUUUAGAACCUUAAAGAUACCAACACAGCAUUGGGGUAGAUUUUUCAUAGCAUGAAAAAUUGGUAUUAAUAAGAACUUUUUUUUUUCCUGGUCCUGCUCGAUUUGGAAAGGGGUCCUUGAGGAUCCAAUUUGGAGUAUCUUGUGGGUUUAGUCAAAAAGGUCAUUCUCAGUCUUCACACUUCAUGCACAAGGAAAGAAUAUGUUUAAUUCGUCAAUCGACUCAUAGCUAACUCUGUAACAAAUGUUUGGGAUGAAGGGAAAAGUAUAGAUUUUUCUCAUUAGAGAAAGAAACUGCAUAAAAUGUGAAUGCUGUAAUUAUUUUCAAAGAACUUAACCAUAAAUCCACCCUUCUUGCAAGGAACAAAGCCUUCUUCCCUAUAUUUUCAAAGAAUGCUAUAAUUAUUAUGGUGAAUCAUGCAUGCAUAUCCAGAAUGAUUUGAUAUUUCUUAAUUGAAUUUUGGAAAGGUCGUGAUACUUGGUAAAGCCUUUGGAUAGUUUCUCUGAGAUGUGAUGGAAUUAACAACAUAUUGAGAAUAAUAAAAAAGAAAAAGCAACGGAAUCAAUGAUCAAAAGUUGUGAAAAUUAUAUCUUUCUUUGAAGAUUUUGAUUUUGACCACAGUGAACCUAUAAGCUUAGAUAGAGAGGGCUUCUAUGAUUUCUAUAUAUACGGACUAGCUUGGCUUCAAACCAUAUGUACAAGUCAAGCUCAAACUCAGAACCUACUUAAACUGUUUCUUCUUCUUAUUUUUUAGUGUCAUUUUGCAAAUGGCUCGCCAAGCAGAUCGCCUUUACAAGAUUGGGUUGGAAGGGUUUGCACUAAUAGACGAGUGGUACGGGUACCCUAGGAGGUCUUCAACUCCUCAAGAGCACCAUCAGCAACGAUAUGAUUAUGGUGGAAUCCAAGUUCCCAUGAUGAAAAUGGAUGUUAUCAACAACAAGGAGGCAGCUAAACAUUAUGGUGGGGUGGUGAUUAUGGAUUAUCGAAAGAAAAAAUUACUCUAUUGAUCUCUUUAGUGAUAAUGUAUUAGGCCUUGCUUUGCUUGGUUAAGUUAAUUACCAAGCAUAAUUAAGUCCGUUUUAACUUUAUUGUUUUCUUCUUCUUUUUCCUAUGUUUGUGUGUGUGUAUGCCAACUGUUUUAGAGUCAGCUACUCCAAAACAUGAAAAAGUAUGAGUGCCUUAAAGUGAUUUGCUGCACCUCUUAUUUCUCUAUGAUUACUUUGUUGGGUUUCUUGAAAUACAUGACAUAGUGAAAAUAGGGAUUUUAGAAAGUUUUUUCAAGUCUCAUGGAUCUCAUUAAACAACAUAAACUUAUUUAGGAUUUGUGCGAAAAUUGUAUGAAGAUGGUUCUUCCUCCUGGAAUUUGAUCAACACUUGAAGGUUGGGUUUGUCGUAAAUCAAGUCUUUACUUGAUUUUUUUAAAUAUAGAAUUUUAAUCUCAUGUGCUAAUUAUAUUAUAGUCUUCAGUUUUUAAAACUUAUUUACAAUCAAUUUGUUGUUACUAACUUUUGACUCCACGAGAAAUCAAUAAAAGAAAAGAGAAAAGAUAGAAAGAGAAAAUCCAAAAUACAAGAGGAUAUACAUGAAAAAAACCUAAAAGAUUAAUAGUAGGCUAGGAACUUUUAGGAUGCUGGGUUCGGUUUCUUCAUGUUCUUGAAAAGAAAAUUGUCUUAGCCUUAUGAUUUAGAUCAACUUUGGUCCAAUUGUUUACACUAAACCAUUCAGGCGACUUGACUAGUAGAUAAUAUAGAGUUUAUUUGCAUUAAUAACAAGUUUAUGUGGUUUUUAAUCCUAAGAUUUUGGUUUUUAACUAAAACUCAUUUUGAUAAAAUCGUGUUAAUUCUUUGAUAAUCAAAGAAAUGGAUGCUAGAUUAUGGAUCCUUGCAUGAUUUUGAAUAAAACUCUGCCUUUGAUUGCAUGAAAACUUGACUGGAUUGAGAUUUGUGUUUGUUGGUUUCUUGAUGAAUGUUCUUUGUGUUCUUCAUGAUUUGAGUGUUUAAUCUAUUUUUCUGUAAUUUUUUUUAUGUUUUGUGUUAAUUUUCAACUUUGGUUUUGUAUCAGUUAAAACCUUUGGGUUUAUUUUCAGGUCAAACAUUGGUUUUUGGUUCGAUUCAUCGUUGAACUAGUGUUUUUGGGUCGACCCAUUUGGUUUUGUUUUGGGUCAAGUACUUAAGGCUUUGUUUGUUUGAACAACCUUUUGUGAAGGAUUUUUUUGGUCUAAGGGGAUGUUUGGCAAACACACACUUAAAUGCAUUUUGGCAAUUUCUAGGGAAAGAAAAGAUUGUUUUUCCAAACAUUGGCUUAUAGAAAUAAAUAAAUAAAAACAAUAAAUGAUUUUGGUUUGUUGCAUAUAUCUCAAUCUUUACAAAAAAAAAUGCAAUUUAUUUAUAAGAAGGAGGGAAAAUGUUUUUAGCAUUGUUUUUUUUUAAUUUUUGUAAUUUACAAUAAGUUUGCAAAAUUCCUUAAGGAUGUGGCCAAUAUUUCAAUAACCCUAAAAAUUUUAAUUCCUAAAAAUUAAUGGUCAACAUUCUGGUAUAAAUGUUAAACCUAUCAAUAACUUAGUAUUUACACUACCACAAUCUUUAUAUUUAUCGACAGAAUUUUCUGUCGGUAUUUGCACUAUCAUUCCGUUGAUAAUUAAUUUACCAAUGAAAUUACCGACGAAAAUACUCCGUCGGUGAAUCCUUCGUCGGUAAUUUUUUGUUCGUCGGUAAGUCCGUUGGUAAUAAAAAUAUUAUUUGACCGAUGAAAAAAGCGUGCAAAAAAAAAUUAUCCGCUUCAUUCCGUCGUUAUUUCUCUCGGUAAGUCCGUAUGUAAUUAUUUAAAUUUUUUUUAAAAAAAUCAUUUUACAAAACUAUAAAAUAAUUAAAUUAAUAUAAAUCAACACUCUAUAAUACUCAAAACACUUGAAAAAAAAAAUAAACAAAAUAAACUCAAACAAAUUUGCAACAAAUAAAUAACAAGAAAAAAUAAAUUCAACUCCAAAAAUUCAUAUGAAAAAAAUAAAGUUGCAAUUGCUAAAAAAUUAAAACUCCUAUAAAUAAAUCAACUGAAAAUUGAUCUCAUAUGGAAAAAAAAAUCCUACAACAACAUUCAUACAAUUAUUAAGAACAAAAAAAAUUAAAAACAAAUAUAGUGAAAACAAAAACACGAAAAAAGAAGAAAACAAAUCUUACCUUAAUGUAGUUGCAAGUGAAGCUAAUAAGAGAAAAAAAAUUAUAAAGUAUAAUAAUUAAAAAAAACUAAGAACAAAAAAAAGAGAGAAAAAUACAUACUUGAGCAUGAAGGAGAAGAGAAGGAGUUGAGGAGAGAGGAGAAGAGAAAGAAAUGGAUAUUGAUGUUUUUUACAUAUGGGAAAGAAGAAGAAGAAGAAGAAGAAGAAAGGAGCCUUGUUUGUUGUGAAAUUGGGGAUUCCAGACUUUUUAUUGGGGUGUUUUACCGAUUGAUAAUUAAAUAUUAAUAUUUUCAAUUAAAUAAAAAAUUUCCGAAACCACCAAAUAUCACCGACAGCUUUUCAAUCCAUCGGUGAUUCCGUCUGUAAUAUUUAAUUUAAAUUUUCAAUUUUAUCAAAAUUUUUAGAAACCCGCCAAAUAACACCGACGACUUUUUAAUCCAUUGGUGAUUUUGUAUUUAAAAAACAGUAAUUAACAGUGCAAUUGUGGAGUGAACAGUUCCAGAGCUCUCUGGAAAAUACCGACGGUAUUUUUCGUUGGUGAUUCUGUCUGUAAUUGACAUGAUGAACAAUGUUAACAGUGAUUCCGUUGGUAAAAAAUGACACGUCAUUGUUUUUUUUUUUUUGCUUUGUUUAAAUUUUUUUUCCCACUGUAAUUCCCUCGGUAUAUACCGAAGGUAUAUUUCGUUGGUAAAAACCGUCGGUAAUUUAUAGACGGAAAUAUUUCCUUGAUAUUUCCGUUUGUAUUUAUUGAUUUUCUGAUAGUGUUAGGUACCAGAAGUUAACUAUAAAUUCUCAGAAUUAUUUUGGAUAUUCACCAAUUUUAAUUGUGAGUAUUUUUUUAUCACAAUAUAUGAGUUAUAGAAAACACUUUCGCAUUUCAGGAUUGGUGACUCCUGUUAGAGCACCUACAUGGAUUCUUUUUAUAAGAAUUUACCUAAGCAUACGAGCCCAUAAUAAAUUUGAAAUGUCAGAUUUAUUUAUGGGCGUAAUUUUUUUUUUGAGCCAUAGAUGAACUACUGAUUAGGAACCCAUCAACACGUUUAAACCAUAUCAUGACAACACAAUACAACUUACUUCGAGUAAGGAUGCUAAUACUUUUUUCUAGCCAAUACUAGUCCCUUACCCUAAAAUUUCAGUUAAGAUCAUUCUACUUGGGUCUUCUAAUGACUCUGAACUACACAACUAGGUGGCGACUCCUUAAUCUCGAUACUGCAACACCGCGCGCGCAUGGGCGACACAAUUCAUGCUUGAUUAAUCAUCCAUGUUCCGAAUAUGUUGACACAAAUAUAAAUUAUAAUCCUAUUCAAAACAAGAUUAAAUAAAUUAAGCAAUUUAACUUAUUAUCAAUCCAACAAAUUAAUAGAUUUAUAUUUAAAUAUCAAAUGCAACAUACCAUGAUCUCUUAAAUCUUGUCGUAGUACCAAAAAAAUGUGAGUGUAUCAUCUUUUAGAUGGUGAAUCAUCUUUUAUCAUUCAUAUACCUUUAUAGCUAUGUGAGCAAGUGUAUCUAGUAAAAAGAUAUAUUAUUCUCCCAUGAUAAUGAGAUUAUCAUGUCUUUAAAUGUCUUUACAGAAAAAGGGGAGGGGGGAAAUGCGCUGAGUAUAUAGCUUUUCUUGAUCUUUUCCAAUCCUUCAUUAUAAAUAGGACGCAUCAAACAUGAUGUGAAUCAUGUUUGAUUCUUUUCACAAACUUUGUGUAUGAUAUGAAUCUCUACUAUUAAAUGCAAUGAGAUGCGCUUUAACUUCCACCAUAUUUCAUUUUAGCCUAGAAGGGUUGAUCUUACUUCCUCAGCAUCUCCAACUGCAUGCCCUUGCCUUCUCUACAUAUAAAAUAGAAUAUUAUUGCUUCUGAAACAUAAAGAUUGCAUGCAUCGGCUUUUAGUGAACUUUUGAUGACAUGAAACUGCCACAAAAUGGGUCCUAUCCGAGAGAGUGUUCUUUUUCUGUUCUGUUAUCACAUAGAACUGAAAUCUGUUCAGAGUACCCCUCCAAGAAAAUGGUCUCUCAAGGGAAGUCCUGAGGAAAUUGACGCAUAUAUAACGAUAUAUCUUGUCCCAGUAUCAAAAACAAAUGUUAAAAAAUGAGAGUAUAUGAACCCAUGAAGUGGUAUCAGAAUCUAUUUUCCUAUUGUUAUUAACAAAACGGAAAGCCAUAACUUACUGUUUGUGCCCUGAAUCUUCUUUCAUAAUUAAACUGAGAUUAUUCUGAUUAGAAGGAAUCAGAGAUAAAAUACCCUGAAUCUUCUUUCAUAAUUGGCUUUCGAGAAGGUUUAGUGUUUUUACUACUUCUACUUUUGGACCUGACUUGAUUCCUCACCGGUAGAAACAGCAUUAGUCCAAAAGCAGGGAAACCAAUAUAAUCUUUUUCAGAUGUCCAUGGUGCUGAUGGAAAAUUAAUCUUUUUCCAGAAGUGUAAGGCUAAAUAGAUAUUAUGAGACCAAUAUAUUUUUCUUAUUGUCAGAUUUUCUUUUUUCUUCUAUAGUUUCUAGUGCUUGGUAUGUAAAUAUUAUCAUAAUAGGUUUGCGUGAAUUCAUAAAAUAGAUGGGAAACCUAACCACGCACGCGAACUAGAGGCAUGCAAACCAUGAAAUAUCUUGAGUAUUUGUGUAUUACAUGGCUUACAAACCUGUAUUUAUUUCCUCUUUAGAUUUGUAUCUUCUUCUUCUUCAUUUUAAUUAUAAUUAAAUCAAUUAUUAUUAUUAUUAUUAAUAUGGGUCUGUGACAUGACCUAAGAGUUGAUGUCUUCUCCCAAGUGUAGGAGUGUCGAAGUAAUAAAUAACCUGGCAAGACCGGGGUCGAACCAUAGGAAGGUUAACUAUAUAAACUACAAAUAAAGAAAUAGAUAAUAACAGAAAAGGAUUGAAGAGAGCUUUGAGAUGUGAUAUUGAUAUAAUGAUUAAACAAUGAUAAAAUAAUUGUCAAGGUUAGAGGAUCCACUAACGGUAUUUCAAACAAGUAUAGUAUAAACUCUUUUUAUUACUCAACUGGAAACCACACACAAAGGAGGUUCCAAUCGGAUUAUAAAUUGUUAACAUGAUUACAUUAGUUAUCUUAUUCGACUAAUGCUAAUACUUGUAAAUAUUGUCAGGUAUUCAUGAUUAUAACUUAUGUUAACAACAAAUCAAGUUCCUUUCAUAGCACAUGUGUCAGUUAUACCAUACGGUUGGGUUAUGAAAGUGCCAAGUAUUUAUUGUACCAAGGGUUAUACAACAUAAAUCUAGAUUAACCAUUUAACAAGCAAAGUAUUAAAAGUGAACAAGAUAACAAAUAUAAAACAUGUUAGUAUCAAACAUUAAAGUCCAUGUUGAGUUUAUACUAUACUUAUUCUUACACUAUUAGUGUAACCUUUUCACCUUGACAUAAUAAACUUAGCUAAACAUAAUGAAAGAUAGAAACAUAAAUAAACAAGAUAAGAACAUAAACAAGAUAUAAGUUAACUAAGUAAAGGAAAGGAAAUGAAAAGCAUAAACAAGAGAUUAAUAUAAUAAAACUUAAGCAUUAUAAAAAUAUAAAGAAAGAGAGCAAGAACAUGAUCUUGAUAUGAAAACCAAGAUGCUUAAAUGCAUGACAAAUGCCUCCUUUUAUAGGCCAAAAUUCGGAACUAUUGAUUUGAUGACUAAUUAUUGAGUUGGUGGCCACAUCUUGACUUGGUGACAAUUCUUAUCUUCUUGUCUGAACAAAACGUCAUUGCUAACAUUAGAAUUUGAAUAGAUAGUCUUCAUGAAAGUUCUGGGAAAUUGUCUCAACUUUCCAACAAAACAAGAAUAGGCGCAUUUGGACUUCUAGAACUCGAGAUAUGGGCUGAAAACUGAACAGUGUCUGGGCUGCAGGACCGAUUCUGACUUCUUCGUUGUUGCUACCAUUUGAACUCGAAAAUGACACUUUUAAAUCUUGGACUCUACAUGAAAGUUUUAGGCCUAUGUCUUAGCUUUCCAUACAUAUAAACCAGACCUAAAUCCAUGUUCUACAGCUUCAUUUAUUAUCCAAUAACCGAAUGGUAUUCUAGUUUGGACUAAACAAGCAUCUCUUUUCUAAGCUUAACCCUCUCUUUGUCUUCUCAAUUUCAGUAGUUAAACUUAAGUAGGAUUUGUGCGAAAAUUGUAUGAAGAUAGUUCUUCCUCCUAGAAUUUGAUCAACACUUGAAGGCUGCGUUCUCGUAAAUCGAGUCCUUACUUGAUUUUUUAAAAUUUAGAAUUUUAAUCUCAUGUGCUAAUUAUAUUAUAGUUUUCAAUUUCUAAAAUUUAUUUACAAUCAAUUUCUUAUUACCUACUUUUGACUCCACAAAAAAUCAAGAAAAGGAAAAAGAAAAAAUAGAAAGAGAAAAUCCAAAAUACAAGAGGAUAUACAUGAAAAAAACCUAAAAGAUUACUCAAGUUGAUGGUCACGGACCAAAUUACAAGUGGAAAAGUUGCAGGACCAAAAUGUACAAAACUGCUAUAAUUAACAACUCAAUUCCAAUUGACAAAGGGCCCCAUUGGUGAAAAUAUUUCUAUUAGGGUAAAGAAAUACAAAUUUGGAUAGGUAAGGACUUAAUGAGAAUUUUGGAAGGCUUAAUUAAUUUUAUUGAGGACUUGAUUACUGGGAAAAUCAGUUUUUAGAGUCAAUUUAGGUGUUAAUUGAAAUAAAUUAAAGUCCAGCGACUUAAUUGGUUUUUUAGGAGGUUUAAUUAGAUGAAUCAAGGGCUUAAUUGUAAGAAUAUUGAAGUUUGGUAGGCAAUUGGGGACUUGAUUGAAGAAAUCUAAAACCAAGGACCAAACUGAAUAAAAGGCGCAUGACUGUAGAGACUAAAUUUGACCAAAUUAGGGGCCAAAUUGAAGAAAAUUGAAAGUUUAAUGGUCAAUUAAGGGUCCGACUGCACAAAAUAGAAACUAAGGACCAAGAUUAAAAUGGCGCUGAACUUUGAGGCUGAUGAUUAAGCUGGACAAGAGUGAAAUUACAUGAAAUUAAGAAUUUGAGAGACAAUUAUAGAUGCAAUUAAAACAAAUUUGAAGAAUAGGGACUAAAGUGAAAAUUUUCAAAUCCCAAAUUAAAAACCCUAAUUUCUAGGGUUUAACCUAGACGACGCGUCGUUCGGCCAUUGUUUAGUUUUUUGUUGGAAAUUUUGGUUGAUCGAGUAGGCACCUUAAACAAAUGAAUGUGGCAUUUCCGACCACUUCUAGGACUGUAACCACCACCAUUUAAUUGAGAAACACCCCCUCUACAAAGAUCAACUAUAACCAUCAAGCACUUAUAUCCCAUUUUCUUUAUCGAAUUCAACAACAUCUUGUUUCUAAUUAGCCAUUACUACAUUUUCAGAUUCUCGGAUAAUCAAGUUUGUCACCUUCAAUAAGUGAAUAUGGAGCUACAAACAUCCAAAUUGAACAAGAAUGGACCAAAUCAAAGGUGUGAUUCUCCUUUAUAAAGUUUAGGUGGUCUCCAAUAACAUUUACGUUGGAGUUGCUCUUGCGUGGCCUCAAAAUUGGUCAACUCAGUCAGUCUUGACUAAGAUACCUAUUUGUACAAAACUAUUUGUCGUGUGUUCACACUUAAAAAAUUUUAGAGAGUUCUUAUCAUGGGUCAUAAAUCUUUCAUCCAUAAUCAGAAGAUGAGGGAUGCAUGCCUUUAUCUCCAAGAAAAAGAAAACCUCUUAGGUAAUUUUGUUACAAAACCAUUGUCCCAAAACCAUUAAAAGAUAAAGGUUCUGAUUGUUAACAUUUGUCCAAAACUCUCUCAUUUUGAUCAAAGAGCUCAGCUUUAAUCGAUCUAUAUUUGAAUCCAUCAAAGACCCUAGCAAAACCCUAUAAAUACCCCCUGAAAAAUAAAAAUAAAAAGAGAGAGAGGAAAAACAUGGAAGAAACACAAUAUAAAAAGAUCCUGGUGUGAAGGUUCAAUAGCCUAACAUAAAGGGUCUAACAAGCUUUGGAAAAAAUAUAAUGAAAGGGAAAGAAGUAAAUAAAAGAGAAGGAGAAUAGUUCAUAUAUAGCAAGCUUGGAAAAGGUAUAACCAUGUAGAAAUUCAAGCGUGGAGUCCAUGUGGCCUUCCUUUUCAUGCUUUCUUAAUGUUUAAACCUCUUUUGAUGUUGUUUGAGCUUAUCUUGCAAAUUUUGGUUUGAUUUUGGUGCUAGAAUAAUUUGAUGUUUUUUCAAUAGAGUUUGUUUUGUUAGAUUUCAUUAUGAUAUGAUAAUUUGUUUUGGUCAAUAAUUUGUUAUUGAGGCUUGCACUAAAGACAUGAUUCUUGGUUUUCACACUUGUUUGAUUAUGUGAUUUUAGCCUAAUAGCAUGAUGAUGAUGUAUUUGAGAUAUUUUGAUUGGUGUUUGAAUCUGUUUUGUAAUAAAACAAUAAGUUGUUUUUGGUUGCGGGUUAAAUAUUUUGGAAGCAUGUUGAUUAAUUUGAUGAUUUUAGUGCAAAUUCAUGGUUCAUACAAGUAUGUUUUGGCAUAUAGAUGUUAAAAAUAUCAAGUUUUGAAUCCAAAUAGCAUGAAUAUGCUUCUUGAUUAUCUUUAGUAGUUUUGAACUUUGGAACUUCAUGCAUGUUAUUGAUGACUUUAUUUUAUUUAUUAGUUCUUUGAAUUCAACGAUGCUUAAUAUUGAUAAUAUGGUUUGUAAGGACCAAAAGAAACAUGUUUUAAAAGCCUGAGAGGCUAGUUUUGGGUUUAAUAGUAGGCUGGGAACUUUUAGGUUGCUGGGUUUGGUUUCUUCAUGUUCUUGGAAAGAAAAUUGCCUUAGCACUAUGAUUUAGAUCAACUUUGGUCCCAAUGUUUACAUUAACCAUUCAGGCGACUUGACUAGUAGAUAAUAUAGGGUUUAUUUGCAUUAAUAACAAGUUUCUGGGUUUUUAAUCCUAAGAUUUGAUUUUCAACCGAAACCCAUUUUCACAAAAUCGCGUUAAUUCUUUGAUAAUCAAAGUAAUGGAUGCUAGAUUAUGAAUCAUUGCAUGAUUUCAAAUAAAACAUUGCCCUUGAUUGCAUGAAAACUUGACUAGAUUGAGAUUUGUGUUUGUUAGUUUGUUGAUGAAUACUCUUUGUGUUCUUCAUGAUUUGAAUGUUUGAUCUAUUUUUCUGCAAAUUUUUUUAUGUUUUGUGUUAAUUUUCAACUUUGAUUUUGUUUCAGUUUAAACCUUUGUUUGAGUUUAUUUUUCAGGUCAAACCUUGUUUUUUGGUUCAGUUUAUGGUUAAACUAGUGUCUUUGGGUUGACCCAUUUGGUUUUGUUUUAGGUCAAGUACUUAAGGCUUUGUUUGUUUGAACAACCUUUUGUGAAGGAUAUUUUUGGCCCAAGGGAAUGUUUGGCAAACACACACUUAAGUGCAUUUUGGUAAUUUUUAGGGAAAGAAAAGAUGGUUUUGCCAAACAUUGGCUUAUAGAAAUAAACUAACUAUGUAACUCGCGCUCCGCCGCGGGUUAAAUAAUCAAAAAAUUUUAAAAGAGCUCCUAAACAAAAUAAAAGAGAUGAUGUUUUGUCCUGGUUGUUUCAAAUUUUCAAAUUUCUUGGCUCUUGCUUCACAGUCAGACACAAUCUCAAAAAAGAUUUUAAAAACAUUUAUUUAAAAAAUAAUAGAAAAACAUAGAAAAAAAUUUAAGUAAAGAAAAAAAUUAAAAAUUUUCAAGACACAAUCUCAAUAUAUAUUUUGAAAAAAAAAUAUUUUAAAAAUAAUACAAUAAGGGCCCUUUCUUACUCCAUUAAACGUUGCUUUGUAUUAUACUUUUGCCGAUGUUUUAAUUGCCUUUUCCAUUUUUUGAGAAAUUAUUUUAAAAGGAAAACUCAAAAAAUUUGGUUUUGUUCAUGAAAACUAAAACUUUCAAUGCAAUCAUCAUAUUUUGUUUCUUUAAGCAACUCUCAUAAAAGGUGUUUCAAAAGUUCUAUGAUGAUACCCCUUUGGGCUUUGGUUCACUAUAAACCCCUAUGUGCACUUUUUACCCCUUAGUGUGGUGUGCAAUACCUAUCAGGUUUAAAUUUGGUUUGGAUCCCUUCAAUUUGAGAAUUGAUGGAGUCAUCUUUUUAGUCAUGUGUAAAAACAGUUCUUUUAAGUAAAAGAUUUUGAAUGCUAUGAGAUCAUGCGCUUUAUGAAGAAAAGGUUCUUUAUAGAGAGAAGUCACGGCCGAACUUUAUUUUAUGGAUCGGGAAGCAUAGUAUUUCUUUAUAGAGUCAGAAUUUACAGGUCUAACUAGAUCUUCUCCAUCCAUUCUAGAUAACAAUAAAGCUCCUCCCAAGAAUGCUUUCUUUACCAUGUAAGGGCCCUUAUUGUUUGGCGUCCAUUUACUCUGAUCUUCUCCUGGUAAAGGCUAUAUUUUCUUCAGUACAAGAUCUCUUUCAUGGAAUCCUCGAGGUCAGACCUUCUUAUCAUAUGAUUUGGUCAUCCAAGAUGAUGACAGAUUGCAGUUAUCCUCUUUUUACUGAUCAGAUUCAACUAUUCAUAUCUAACUUUUAUCCAUUCCACCUCUUCUAAACUCAAAGUCUACCAAUACUCUUAAUGAGGGGGUUUCCACUUCUAAAAGCAUCACCGCCUCCAUUCUAUAUACCAAAGUGUACGGGGUGGCUCCUGUUGAAGUUUGAAUUGUGGUGUGGUACACGUGAAGGGCAAAUGGCAACGUCUCAUGCCAAUCCUUAUAGGUGACAACCAUCUUCUAUAUAAUCUUGACAUUUUCGUUAUCAGCUUCUACUGGACUAUUAAUCUUUGGCCUAUAUGGCGAGGAAUUGAAAUGUUUGAUUUUCCAUUUAGCGAAGAGUUCUAUUAUCAUCUUGCUAUUGAAGUUUUGGACAUUAUUAGUUAUAAUAUUUUCUAGUGGACCAUAUCGACAGAUCAAAUCUCUUUCCAUAAAUUUCUUUACCACAUUUUGCCUCCACGUCAUCCAAACAUCUCAACAAAGUUCUGUCAGAUGAUUUCUUAUACAAAAUUUCCCCAUCAAGAUAGAAAUCCAUUGCCAACCUCCUCAAAGUCUUCUUGUUGAUUUUGGAUGCCCCCAUGGGAUAUGUCUGGUUUUGGAUGAAAUUCUUAAUAUCAUAGUACCAAGGGUUUUCAUCUAUUUCUCUUUCAACUAAGCAACAAUGAGCUGGGUUAUUUCUGGUAUCAAUGUGUACCGGUUGUACCUUGUGCCCAAAGUCUAUUCUAGCCAUAGAAGCUAAUGUGACCAAAGCAUCAACAAAAUGUUUUCCUUCCAUUCCUAAAUGGGUGAACUUUAUUUCCCCAAAUUCUCUAGCCAAUUUAGACAGGUAUUCUUGGUAAGGUCUCAACUUCUCGUCCUUGGUUUGCCCUUUUCCUUUCACUUGGAAAAUAAUCAAAAUUGAGUCUCCAUACACAUCUAUCUUUCUAAUAUCCAGCUCCGAUGCCACCUCUAAAACGAGAAUGCAAGCUUCAUACUCCUAUGUUGUUAUUGCACCCAAACUGCGACUUAACUGAAACCGGAUACUAUUUCUUAUCAGGAGAUAUUAGCACUGCCCCCACUCCGUUACCACAGCACCAUCAAAAUACAUAAUCCACCAAUCUGAUUUCCCUUCCUCGACUGAAAGCACAUCUUCAUUAGGAAAAUCAAAUUUUAACGGCUUAUAAUCUUACAUAGCAUGGUCGGCCAGGUGAUUGGCAAUAACACUCCCUUUCAUAGCUUUCCUUGUCAUAUAUAUUAUGUCGUACUUUGCCAGUAGAAAUUGCCAUUUUGCAAUUCAGCUUGAUAGAUAGGGGUGGAUUCAGUAGGUAUUACUUGAUUUUCUCGAAAGCUUCUUCACACUCUUAUUCCAAAUUCCGAGAUUCUUCUUCCUUAACAAUCGAAGAUUGAGUCACAAGUCGUGGUUAAUUGGGAUAUAAACCGGGUAAUGUGAUUCAGUUUUCCUAAGAACCCUCUUACAUCCUUCUCAGUCCUAGGAGUUGGCAUAGAUUGAAUAACCUUUACUUAACUAGGGUGCACUUCUAUUCCUUUAUCACUCAUCAUAAAUCCCAACAACUUCCUAGAUUUCACCCUGAAUGAACACCUUACAUGGUUAAGCCUCAACUUGUACUUCCUUAGUCUUUCAAAUAAUUCCUUCAAUAUUUGGACAUGAUUCUCUCCCUCUCUAGAUUUAGCAAUCAUGUCAUCCACGUAUACUUUAAUCUCUUUUUGCAUCAUGUCGUGAAAUAGAGCCACCAUGGCCCUUUGGUAGGUGGCCUCGACAUUCUUUAACCUAAAUGACAUGACCUUGUAGCAAAAGGUUCCCCAUAGUGUUACAAAGGUUUCUUCUCCUUAUCCUCUUGCGCCAUUUUAUCUUAUUGUAGCCCGAAAACCGGUCUAUAAAGGAAUAUAUGGGGCUACGAGUUGCAUUGUCAACCAACAUAUCUAGGAGUGAUAAAGGAAAAUUGUCUUUAAGGUUAGUCCGGUUUAAGUCCCUAAAGUCCACACAAACUCUAAUUUUAACUUCCUCUUCGGGUACUACCACUAUGUUGGACACACAUUGCGGAUACUUGACUAUUUCUAGAAAACUAGCAUUCCACUGCUUUUCAAUUUAUGUCUUUACCUUGAUCAAGACAUUCAGAUUGGUCCUUCUCAACCUUUGUUUAACCGAUUUGCAUCCUUCUACUAGUGGAACCCUAUACAAACCAGGCAUAUCCUUAUAGGACCAGGAAAAAAUCUACAUAAUCUUGGAAUAGUGCAAUCAACUUUUCUCUUUCUUUAGGGGUGAUCAAAGUUAUUAUCUUCAACUCUCUCUUGAUUUUUCCAUUGCCUACGUCUUUGGUUUCAAAUUCCUCUUUAGCGGGUUUCCAAGUUUGUUCAUGUUGUUCUUAUUAAUUUUUGUGAAUCCUUUAAUGUUAUUUUCCUCUCAUUCUUCUUCUUCUACAACUAAUAUGUGUUCUUUAAAGUUCGGCCAUUCAUUCUCAGUGUAAAGUGCAGGUGUUGUUAUGAAAGAUCCAUUUUGAAAACGGAAAGUGACGUGUAAAAACAUCAAGAUGAACUUUUGAAAAUGCAUGAUCUCAUUAAAAGGAAAAAGUUUGGCUAAAAAAAAACAAGGAUAAAAUCCAAUUGACAUUUGGAACCUCGAUUUAAAAAGGUGAAAAAGGCAAACAACACAAUAUCAUAAUCAAACAAGCAUUGUUGAUUAAAUUUUGAACACCAAUAGAGCUUCUUGGGUCUCCCAAUUCUGGAACAUCUCUCCCUUUGCUAGCUUUUGAAUGAAGGUCUUGAGAUUCAAGAUGCUUUGAGCUUAGGCUUGUUUGGAUGCAAAAAGAUAUUAUGGAGCAUACAUCCUAAGGAUAGGUUCUAUUUCCUUUAUGUGAGACAUUGGGUAGGUUUACUACUUGGUCUCUAAAGUGGGUCUCUUGCUGUCCUAGUGAUCACUCUCGUAAAGGCAAUAUGGGGAUUCAGCAGAUAGUGGGAUGGCACAUGUACCAAUCACUAUCAGUUUAAACAUUCAGCAAAGAGUUGGGGUUUACACAAACUUAAACCUUGACUCAAGUCAUAAGGCAAGCUGCUAGUCCCCCACUUAACUUUAAAUUUAAUGUGUGUGCUCUCCAAAAAGAAAAUAAUGAUAAAGUGAUGAAUGACUACAUCAUGUAUGACAGAAUGUAAAGAUGCAUGCUAAAGCUUUUAAACAAAUUAUCAUUCAUAGUAAAAAAAACAACAACACAUAGCAUAAUAAAAAAAACAAUUACCAAGCUUAGUCCAAGGGUCCCCAGCGGAGUCGCCAUCCUGUCACACCCUCGCGCGGCAUCUAAUGGCGAUUUUCGAUUGAUUUUGGUUUUUUUGUUUCGUGCAUAAAGGAGUCGCCACCUAGUAUUAUGGUCACUAGGAACCUUGACUGGUCUUUCAGAGAUUCUAAAGCAAGGGACUGGUUGCGUAAAGGGAAGGUAUUAGCACCCCUAGUACGCCCUACCUAAGGUAAGCUGCUUGGUGCUUGGUUUGGCUUAUAAUUGCUAUGGUGUUGGUGUUUUCUAAUCCCAUCAAUUUUUCUAGAUUUGAUUCAAACUAAAUUUAUUAAGAUAGAAAUCCAAGGAGAUUCCAUGUGCUUUAAAAGCUCAUUUUUCCUUUAGUAUUUCAAGAGUUUGCGACUGGUAAAUUGCAAGGGGGACGGACAAAAAUUUAGAAAUCUAGGGCACUUUAAAAGCCUAUUUUUGCCUUAGUGUUUUUUUUUACUCUCACGGCUCGUAAACAGUGGAGUAAAAAAUUGAAAUGUCCUCGAUUAUAAUCAAGGCUUCUUUCAAGGAUGUGCGAUGACUUAUUAUCCCUAGAAAAUUAUUUUGGAUAUUUACCACUUAGGGUUUUCUUUAUCCAAAUAUUAACAGCGAAUAAUAACAAGUUAUUCCCAAUAAUAUUUUGGAUAUUCAUCUCUUUGAGAUUUCUUUAUCCAAACAUUAACGGUGAAUAAUAACAAGUUAUUCCCAAUAAUAUUUUGGAUAUUCAUCCCUUUGGGAUUUCUUUAUCCAAAUAUUAACGGUGAAUAAUAGAUGAAUUCCCCCAAAAUAAGAUUUUUGUAUUUUUUGAAAUAUUGGCCAAUACCCUUUGGAGUUUUACAAACAUGUUGUAAAAUCCAGAAAUGCAAGAAAAUAAUUUUUGUUGUGUUUGAGAAAUCCAUGCGAAAACACAUUUUCAAAACUUCAAGUAUUUGUUUUUUUUAAGAGGAAAUUCAAAAGGAUAUUAGGGUAUUGGCCGUAUGCAACACACAAAAAUAUUUUUUUAUAUUUUUAUAUCAGGAAAAAAAAAACAUCAUAGUUAAUCGCAAUUAAAGACAACAAAACCCAACCCGGUUACUGGUUCUGCCACAGUUACAUGCAUAUGCAUGCUACAGUUGCAGUAAUUAAUUUGGUAAAGACAGGGAAAGAAAGACUUACCUGCGAGGCAGCGAAAAUUCAAAAUGCACAGUAACAGGGUGAAUUACAUUUAUGCAUGCAUAGAGAUGAAGAGAGCUUAGCAGGGACGAAGCUGGUGCUCGGGGAUUUAUUUCCAAGCUCAACCCGGUUACUGGCUCAAACCAGUAACCAGUUCUGGUGCAGGGAUGAAGCUGGUGGGUGGCGUCGACCGGGAUGAAACAACUGGUCUCAUUGCUGGGCUGCUGCUUCGGCUAAUACCUGUUCCUAUGGAAGAAAAACAAAAGUUGCACCGCUUGAGGAGAAGAAACUGGAGACGGAACGAAGGGACACAGGCGAUGGUGAAGGCGUGCUGGUUGGUCUCUCUGUGUUUUCGUCUGUUUAUCUUCUUUCCUUCUGCUCGUCCUUCCUCUCAUUCGCGUCUGUCUUGUCUCUACUGAGAAGAAAUGGUUGCUGUUGUUGUGGGACUCGGUGGAGGCCGGUCUGGGGCUAAGUUGACAGAGAGGGCUGCUUCGGGUGCAGGGGAAGAAAUGGCUGGGGGGCUGUGGUUGGCCAGGAGAGGGAAGAUGAGAGGGAAGACGGCAGCAGCUGAGUCUGUUGAGAGAGAUGAGGGAAGAGACGGGACGACUGGUGGGAGAGACUGAGAGUUUGUGUUGAUAGCCGGCUAUGGGGGGUUUGUUUUGGGGCUGAGGGGACAGGAAAGCUUUUGGCUGGCGAGAGGGGAAAAUGAAACCGAAGGGAAAAGGCUGGAAUCGGGGAGAAGGGAGUGUUGGUGCUGUGGUCGGGUGUCUGUGGGGUAAGUGGCUGAGAUGGAGAAAUGGAGGGGCUCGCUGGUGGCUGACUUGGGAGAAGAAGAUGGGGGAAUGGUUUGUUUGGCUGGCGGCAGAGAAAGGAGAGUGCAGGGGCAGUGAGCGGGGCUGUUGGAUGGAGAAGAGGAAGGCUUCUGCUGGUUCACGGAAGCAAAAAUCAAAAGCAGGGAGGGCGGCUCUAUUUUUUUUUCUUUUCAAAGGGAGGCAGCGACCAGAAGAGGAAGAUGAAACGAGUUUAGGGUUUUUUUUUGUGUUUGGCUCCUCUUUUCUGAAAAAUUACUCCCUUUUGAAUAUUUUUUCUCCGGGUGUAUAUGGUUGGAGGUUCACUUAUAUAGAAAAUCUCUAUAUGUGCUAUUUAGAGAAAUAUUACAAUAAUUAUUACAGAGAUUGUCUUCUAUAACCAGCACCAACAAAUCCUAUAUAUAUGGUAUUUUAUAUUGCAGUGAUUUUUUUCCAUAACCAGCACGAAUCAAAUCAUAUAUCUAUGGUAUUUUAUAUUGCCGUAAUUAUAUAUGAUUCAAUAAUUAUCUCCUUCACACAUUGCUUCCUUAAUAUUAGCCCUAAUGCUUUAUGUUAUCGCCACAUGUAAACCCUUAUUAUUAUUUUAUUAUUAUUUUUAUUUUGAAAAAUUUAUCAAAACGUUGGUAAAAAAUCGGGUAGCAACAAGGAGGACCUAAUGUCAUUGGGUCCUGGUGUUAGCAGUACCCAAUAGCCCACAGUUAACCACUCUGUUGGGUCUCCCAGUAGCUCUGGGAAGACAAGGGAAAGCCCCCAGCAUUAAAUUUUGACCAAAACCAUAGCAGGGUAUGACCCCCAGGGUGUAUGGCUGCUGGGUUUGGCUGUGCAACCAUACCCAAUAUCCUUGGGUAUUGUUGCGCAGCCAAACCCAACACCUUUGGAGGGUGUUGGGUCCUGCACCUGAUCAAAAUAGCUAUAGUAUAAGUAAUCCAUCCUAGGGACAUCGGCAUAGGAAGAUUGAAAAAAAAAAAACAAUUGAUUUCCUUUGGUAGAUGGAUUGGAAAUUCAUGUUAUCACGUAUGUGAGAAUUCAAUCACCCAUACCUCUCUAUAUCUCUGCACAUCGUAAAUAUAUAUAUCUUUUUCACUACAGUAUAACACCACCAUUGAAUAUUAAUGCAAGACCAUUGAUCAAUAAGGACGACUGGCUUCCAAACCCAACAACCAUACCCAAUUAAAUUUCUUUGUCGUUGCCUUCUCUGAUUUAAAUUUAUGUUUCAAAAUAAAUUGAUGAGAUUUUUUUUAUAUUGUAUAAAACUUGAGUGAUAAUAAUUUUUUCCGGUUUUAGGUUGGGUUGAAUUUCCUAAUUAAAUCAUGCUUGAUUUUGCAUUUCAAAAAUUCCUUGAAAUUUUUUUGAUAAUUUUUAAUUUUUUUUUCUUUGCUUGAAAUUAAUAUUUUUUUUAUGUUUUUGUAUUAUUUUUUUUAAAAAAAUAUGUUGAGAUUAUGUCUGGCUGCGACGCCAAACCCAAGAAAUUUUAAAAUUUUUAAUUUUUUUUACUUCAAAAUAUUAUUUUCUCCAUGUUUUUGUAUUAUUUUUUAAAUAGCUUUUUUAACAAAUAUAUUGAGAUUGUGUCUAGUUGAGAGGCGAGGCUCAAGAAAUAAAAAAAAAUUUCAUUUUUUUAUUUACUGCAAAUUAAUUUUCGUUUGAUAUUUUUUUCUUCACUUCAAAUUAUUUAGAUCAUGUUUGACUUUGCAUUUCAAAAAUUAUUUGAAAUUUUUUUGACAAUUUUGAAGUUUUUUUUCUUUACUUAAAUUAUUUUUAUGUUUUUGUAUUUUUUUUAAAUGUUGGCAUUGGGUUUGUCUGCAAUGUUAGACCCAAGAAAUUUUCAAAUUUUAAUUUUUUUCUUUCCUUCAAAAUAAUAUUUUUUUUUCAUGUUUUUAUAUUUUUUUUAAAAUAUAUUUUUUAAAAAAAUAUUGAGAUUUUGUCUUGCUCGUUUGUGGGGCCUCUAAACCCAAGGGCGGUUAGAACAGACCUCGACGGCUGGGUCUGCACCCAGCGCGCAGGUCCAGAGGCCAGGAGCGCGGGGUUGCAGACCCUGCCUCGCUGGUCUGCAGACCCCAGGGUUGCAAGGCUGCACACUCGCUCGCACUGGGAUGCAGCCAGGCGCGCGGGUCUGCCCUAACACCUAAGGCAUGGCAGGCCCCGUGCUAGGUGUCUGCAUGCUAGGCCCUUGGGCAACCCUAGUGCCAAGUGGCAGCAGCCUAGAGCACGAGCAGGCACACGUGGCCUGCCCCCCUCCUGGGCCUGACACCCUAAGCGCCAAGUGUCCCCAGCCUUAGGGGUUGUGCGUCCAGCCAGGCAUUUGGGGCCUACACUAAUAUUUUUUUCAAAAAUUAUUUUUUAACAAUAACAAUAAUAAUAAUGAUGAUAUUUGUUAUUAUAUUUUUUUUUUUUUGCAAUUUCCUUCUAUUUUUAAUAUUAAUACAAAUAAUAAUAUUUAGUAAUAAUAUUUUUUUUAACAUUCAAUGAAAUUAAAAAUCAAAAUAUUUAGAAUAAAAAUAACAAUAUUUAGACUACGAAUAAUAAUAUUUAUCACAUUAAUAAUAAUAUGAAACUUGUUUGACCAAAGUUGAUAAAAUAAUAUAUAUUUUUUUAAAAAAUUAUUAACAAUAAUAAUAACGAUAAUUGUUGUUAUAUUGUUUUUUAAAAUUUUUUCUAUCCUUAACAUUAAUACUUUUAAUUACAAUAAAGAUAAUAAUAUUUAGAAUACAAAUAAUACUAUUUAUCAUAUUAAUAAUAAUAUCUACAGUAAUAAAUUUUUUUAUGAUAAUUAACAAUGAGACAAUAAUAAUAAUAAUAAUUGCUAUUGUAUUUUUUCCCCCUGCAGGGUCUGCCGAUCUAACCGUGCGAGCCUCUAAACCCAAGGGCGGUUAGAACAGACAUCGGCGGUCGGGUUUGCACCCAGUGCGCGGGUCAGGAGGCUAGGAGCCGGGGUGCAGACCCUACCUCGCGUGUCUGCAGACCCCAGGGUUGCGGGGCUGCAGACCCGCUCGCCGUGGGGCUGCAGCCAGGUGCACGGGUCUGCCCCUAGCACCUAAGGCGUGGCAAACCCCGCGCCAGGUGUCUUCAUGUUAGGGCCUCGGCCAGCCCUAGCAUCAAAUGGCAGCAGCCUGGGGCGCGCGCAAGCGAGCGUGGGCAACCCAACGCCCAGGCUAGUUAGCCCAAGGUGGUGUGCAUCCACCCAGGCGCUUGGGGCAUGCAAUAAGAUUUUUUUCAAAAAAUGUUUUUUAAAGAAUAAUAAUAAUGAUAAUUGUUAUUAUAUUUGUUUUUUUCAAUUUUCAUCUAUUCUUAAUAUUAAUACAUUUAAUUAAAAUAAUAAUAAUAAUAAUAAUAAUAAUAGUUAGUAUACAAAUAAUAAUAUUUAUCACAUUAAUAAUAAUAUGAAACUUGCUUGACCAAAGUUGAUACAAUAUUAAUAAUAAUAUGAAACUUGCUUGACCAAAGUUGAUACAAUAUUAAUAAUAAUAUUUAUCACAUAUUUUAUCAAAUUAUUUACAAAUAAUAAUAUAUGUUUUAUGUUUGAAAAUCCAUUUUUUAUAUACUCACAUCAAAAUAUUCAUUCGUGUAAAAAGGAAAUAAUAAUAUUAAUUUUUCUUUUCUUUUCUCUUAUUUUUUAUAUGAAUACUUUUUUUUAUAUAUUUUUGAUAUUUCUUUUCUUGAAUUUUCUUAUUAAAGAAUGUUUGUUUUUACGUUUCAAAAAUGCUUUGAAAACAUUUUGAAAAUUUUUAAUUGUUUUCUUUACUUCAAAUUAAUAUUUUUUAUGUUGUAUAUUUUUUUUGGUCUGGCUCCAUUGCUGCGUUUUUAUUAUAAUUCUAAUUAUAAAAUAAUAAUAUUUAUAAUAAAAAUAAUUAUAUUUAGAAAGCUAAGACCCAAUUAUCUUGGGUCGUGACGUAGGACCCAUUACCCUUGGGUCCCGACGCGGGACCUAAAAGAAUUGGGUCUUGACGCAUGACCCAAUUCUCUUGGGUUCUUGGGUCCGGUGGCAGGACCUAAGAGAAUUAUAAUAAAAAUAAUAAUAUUUAUAAUACAAAUAAUAAUAUGUUUAAUGUCAAUAACAUUAAUUAUAAUAAACAUAACAAUAUUUAUAAUACAAAUAAGAAUAUCUUGAAUUUCAAUAACAGUAAUUAUAAGAAAAAUAAUAAUAUUUUUCAUUUAUUAAUUAUUAUAUGAAUAAUAUUAAUUAUAAUAAAAAUAAAAAUAUUUAUAAUACAAAUAAUAAUAAUUUUAAUGUUAAUAAUAAUAAUAAUAUAAUAAUAAUAAUAAUAAUAAUUAUUAUUAUUAUUAUUAUUAUUUAUAAUACAACUAAGAAUAUUUUUUAAUAACAUUAAUUAUAAUACAAAAGUGUUAAUAUUAAAAAUAUUAUCAUUUUUAUUAUAAUUAAAAAUAUUAUUAUUUGUAUUAUACAUAUUAUUAUUUUUAUUAUAAUUAAUAUUAUUCAUAUAAUAAUUAAUAAAUUUGGGAAAUUUAUUAUUAUUAUUAUUAUUAUUAUUAAUAAAUUUUUAAAAUACUAUUAUUACAAUUGAAGAAAAACAUCAUUUUUGUAAAGAUUUAAAAAUAUAAUUCAAAGAAUUCAUAUAAAAAAUAUAAUUAUUUGUAUUAUAAAUAUAAUUAUUUUUCUUAUAAUUCAAAGUAUUCAUAUCAAAAAAUUUAUUAUUUGUGUUAUAGAUAUAUUAUUUUAAUUAUAAUUCUAAGUAUUAAUAUAAAAAUAUUAUAAUUUGUGUUAUAAAUAUUCUUGAGUUUGUUAAUAUAACUAUUUGUGUUAUAAAUAUUAUCAUAACAAAUAAUCAAGCGCCAAGCGCCCUAAGGCUGCAUCCAAGCAUGCGGGUCCGACCAUAGCGCUCAAGGUUGGUCACACCUUGUGCCAGGUGUUUGCAUGCUGAGGCCUCGACCAGCCAUAGCUCCAAGUGUUUGCUGCCUGGGGCCGCGACUAGGGGCGCGUGGCUGGCCCCAACACCCUGGCUUGGCUACCCAAGCACAAGGUGUCGACAGUUUGAUCUAAUUAAAUGUCGCCUUUGCCGCUACAUCACUCCCAUCUUAAUGACAAAAGUCAAAUGAACCACCCUAGCCGCAAUUCUUGACUAAAAACACAGGUAAGGAACACACCCCAAGGUGCUAUAGUGUCGUCCACAGUUCAUUGUAUCUUGGGCCAUAGUGCAUGUACAGUAGAAAAUCCUCAUUUGUGUUAAGACAUAGCAAAGCAACUAUGUAAGUUUUAAUACAUAGCAAAACAAUUGUGCAAGUCCACAGUUAAUUGUCUCUUGGUCCACAGUGCAUGAAGGUACAGUAAGUCCACAGUGAAUUAUCUCUCAGUCCACAAUGUAUUCAUGUAUAGUAGAAAACCCACGUGUUUUAGAGUUCUGUUAAUAAUAAAAAAAAAUAGAAAAUAAUUUUGAUAUGUUGCAUACGUCUCAAUCCUUACAUAACAUUGCAAUUUAUUUAUAAAAAGGAGGGGAACAUGUUUUUAGCAUUGGAAUUUUUUUUCAUUUUUGUAAUUUACAAUAAGUUUUUAAAAUUCCUUAAGGAUUUGGCCAAUAUUUCAAUAACCCUAAAAAUUUUAAUUUCUAAAAAUUAAAGGUCAACAUUCUGGUAUAAAUGUUAGACCUACCAGUAGGCUAGUAUUUAAGUACCAGAAGUUAACAAGAAAAUUUUUAGAAUUAUUUUGGAUAUUCAUCAAUUUUAAUUGUGAGUAUUUUUUCAUCACAAUAUAUGAGUUGUGAAAAACAUUUUCGCCUUUCAGGAUAGGUGACUCUUAUCAGAGCACCUACAUGAAUUUUUUUAUAAUAAUUUACCUAAGUAUACGAGCCCAUAAUAAAUUUGAAAUGUCAGAUUUAUUUAUGGGAGUAAUUUUUUUUUCUGAGCCAUAAAUGGGCUACCGGUUAGGAACUCAUCAACACGUUUAAACCACAUCAUGACAACACAAUACAACUUACCUCAAGUAAGGAUGCUAAUACCUUUUUCUAACUAAUUCUAGUCACUUACCCUAAAAUUUCAGAUAAAAUCAGUCUACUUGGGUCUUCUAAUGACUCUGAACCACAUAACUAGGUCGAGACUCCUUAAUCUCGAUGCUGCAACACCGCGCGCACAUGGGCGACACCAUUCAUGCUUGAUUAAUCAUCCAUGUGAAUUAUUAGGUUUCGAAUAUGUUGGCACAAAUAUAAAUCAUAAUCCUAUUCAUAACAAGAUUAAAUAAAUUAAGCAAUUUAACUUACUAUCAAUCCAACAAAUUGAUAAAUUUAUAUUUAAAUAUCAAAUGCAACAUACCAUGAUCUCUUAAAUCUUAUCCCAGUAUAAAACAAAUGUGAGUAUAUGAACCCAUGAAGUGGUAUCAGAAUCUAUUUUCCUAUUAUUAUUAACAAAACGGAAAGCCAUAACUUACUGUUUGUACUAUAUAAUAUUGGGAUUGAGAAGUACAAUGUCCAGAAUGCUUUUCAGGAUAACCAUAUGUUCACAUCCAUGAAUCUCAAUGGAUUUCCCUUAUAUAUUACACAUUGAAAAAAUAAAAUAUUUAUCUAGUAUUUAUAUAAUAAACUUUGAUACAAGAUAAUAAUCAAAACAAAAGGGAAAGUGGACAUGCCUGUACAAGGUUGAGCCGGGCAAGAGGAAAACUUCUGAUUGCUCUCUGGCGUAUGAGGCAAUGCCUAUACUUUCUGAACCUUUUGUUUCUAGCAAUAAUUUGUUUUUAGCUCUUAAACUGAAACCAUAAUUUUUUUAAAACUUAGAAUUAAUUUUCUAUUAGUCACAAAAUCCUAACAACUCUUUUAUUUUAAAAUGUUUUUACAACUCUUUAACUUCCUAACAACUCUUUUAUUUUUUUGAACUGUUAUAACAACCUUUUAAUUUUCUAAUUUAUUUUCUUCCUAGUUGUUCCAUGUUAACAACCUAUAUAUACCAUGCACUCUUACAAUCAAAGUGUGCUGAAAAAACCAUAUUAUUUUUAUGUAUUUGCAAAGCUUGCUGGCAUUUCCUUUCGAUCUUGGUCUAGCUGUUUCUGUAACCCUUGUUUUUUUAAAAAACCUUGUUGAAUUCUAGAAUAUAAUGUUGAGAAAAUAUCUUUAAGGACAAUUUUGUGCAUGCCUCAAGUUUUAUUUUAUUUCUAUUCUUCAUCGUAUUUUAUUACAACAUCUAGGACAUCCUUAAGUAAAUAUCCUUAAGUAAAUAAAGAAAGCUAGAAUAAAGUGCCUUCACUGAUUAUUUAGCAUUACUGAGCAGGCCAGGUCUUCACUGCUUAUUUCCUAAUAAUUCCUUACUGUGGAAUUGCACUUACAAAUAAAGAACUUGUUCUUGAUAUUUUCGUACGGAAUUUCUCUCUCGAUGAGUCGGUCAAUAAAGUAACUUCGUUAUUCGGAUUAAUUUGAGGCCGGCCAUGAGAUGGAGAGGUUUUGUCACAUUAAUUAUAUAUGUCAUGUUACUUAGGUUAAAUAGAAUAAGAAAUAAAGAUAUAGGUUAAAAGGAAAAGUUAGUUAUAUGGAAUCAGAUUCACCAUUAAACUGAAGAGUCUCAUCGAUUCUACGAAACUUGUCGGAAGGAAUCAUUUGUUCAACAAAUCUUAAAUUUUUACUUGAGAUUCCGAAAGCCCAUCUCUAUGGAGGAGCUCUUUGGCAAUUCAUCCUCUAAGUGGAUUUCCUCGAAUUAAGAUGAGAAGAUCCGGCUUCAGCCAAUUCUGUUGUUUUUCUUGAUUUUUCAAGAUUUCAUGUUUUAUUUUGGAUUUUCCAUUGUUUUUCAAAUUAAAGAAACCAAGAUAAAAUACCCUGAAUCUUCUUUCAUAAUUUGCUUUCGAGAAGGUUUGGUGUUUUUGCUACUUUUACUUUUGGACCUGACUUGAUUCCUGACCGGUAGAAACAGCAUUAGUCCAAAAGAAGGGAAGCUUUUGUUUUUCUUGAAUCACAUGAUCUGAUAUUAUCAUUUAUGCCCAACACAAAUUCAUAAAAGUGGCUCUAAUGAUUGGCUGACAACAGUUGUUAAUGAGCAGUGUUAUUUUUCAGUUUACUAAGUAUUUAGAACAUUCAAUUCCAAUCCAAAGUCGAUAAUAAUAAACUCUUGGUGAUAGUUUUGUCAUCGAUGGUGAUCGGACGACAAAAAAACUAGAAUGAAUGGAGAUACCGUUAUUUUAUCACUGUAAAAAUAUGGAGUUGGUUUUUAAUGGGUCACGAGUCACAAAGACGAAAACAAGCUUCGCCAUAGAGAAGAAUACACAACUACUAGUCUACUAAUGACUUAAUAGUCUAUGUUUUCCCGAUGGACAUGCCUCGAACAUAUCAAGGUUAGUUAAUUUGCAGGAAUGCAGAUUGUAUGGAAUGAAGAGUCAUGACUGCCAUGUGUUCAUGCAAACACUCAUUCCAUUAGCUUAUCGUGAUUUAUUGCCAAAAGGGAUAUGAGAUGCACUCACGCAGAUCAAUCAUUUCUUUAGACAUAUAUGCGCCAACAAGUUGCACACACAUCACAUUGAGAGGCUUGAAACGAAUAUCGUCGAGAUAAUAUGCAAACUUGAGAUGAUAUUCCCUCCAUUAUUUUUUGAUUCGAUGGAGCAUCUACCCAUACAUUUACCGUACGAGGCAAAAGUUGGAGGCCCAAUCCAGUAUAAAUGGAUGUAUUUAUUUGAGAGGUUAGAUAUUAUAGAUGCAACGUAAUGAUUAAUGUAUUUUCAUUUUUUUUAUUAAUUGAAAAUAUUUAUUUAAUUCAAUGUAGGUACUUGUUUAAUCUUAAGAAAAAAGGUUAAGAACAAGGCAUAUGUAGAGGCUUCGAUAUGUGAGGCCUAUAUUAUUGAGGAGAUCUCAACAUUUAUCUCGUACUAUUUCGAGCCUCAUUUGAGAACGGGAAUCAACCACAUUCCACGACAUAAUGAUGGUGGUGAAGUGCCUUCAAGUGGGAACUUGUCAAUAUUCUCCAAUCUUAGAUGACCCACACCUAAAAAUGUUGUAAGGAGAAGUUAUUUUUCUGAAAUAGAGUUCCAAUAAACACACAAUUAUAUGCUAUUUAAUUGCGAUGAAUUGAGACCUUUUAUUCAGUAAGUAUAUAUACUACUUAAACUUUGUUAUAAAUGGACUAUUUAUCUAUUGUAAUAUCACAAACUCAUACAAUUUUGAAAACCUUGUAGGCAACAUCGACAAUAUUUAUUGUCUAAUAACUCACACCUGACCAAAUCUCAAAUCUUUAGAUUACAAGAUGAACAAUUUGCCACGUGGUUCAAAACACAUGUAAGUACUAUCACAAACUCAUUAUCUAUCAUGGUACUUAAUUUCAUUACAGAAUUCUUGUUUACUGUUCAUUGAUGUACUUGAUGUACAAGGUUUAUCAAAUGGGAAGGAAUGCUAGUAUUUCAUUAUCUUUACUAAGCUUGGGUCCUGAAAGAAAAGUGAAGUGCUACAAUGGGUAUUUUGUCAAUGGAUAUGUGUUUCAUACCGAAGAAUACUGGCAUGAAAGAAAGACAUAUAACAGUGGUGUUUGUGUUAAGGGAUUGACUUGUAAUGAAUUUGAAGUUGACUAUUAUGGUAAAUUAGAAGAUGUCGUUGAAUUGCAAUAUCAUAGCGAGCAUAAUAAAGUGUUUUUAUUCAAAUCUUAUUGGUAUGACACCACUGAUAGAGGAAUCACAAUAGAUCCCUACUAUGGUCUGAUCGAAGUUAACUCCAAAGCUAGACUCCACAACGUAAACGAUGUCUUUAUUUUCGCCAAGCAAUGCCAGUAAGUUUAUUACACAUACACCCCUUCCAUUAGAAAUGAUCGAUCAAGAGUUAAUUGGUAGAAAGGCUAGGGGAGUGAGACAGGUUUGGGUUGGUGCUGGUCUAAAGGAAAGAACAAAAGGCAACGGGUUUAGGGAAAAAUGUAAUCUUUGCUGGCUGCUAGGUUUUAGUAUAAUGGGGCUAGGCUUUUUUUUUUUGGACCAUGAGGAAGAAGGAGAUAAGUGCAGGGAAGAUUGAAGAUGAUAAGUGUAUGGAAGAUGGAAUGGGUAAAGGUCAUGUUUUUUUUUUUUUUGCAUUUUUUUUCUAGAAAUAGAAGGUUUGUUUCUAGUGAUUUUUUGUUAGCCUCUUUAACUAAUUCACUCCUUUUUUUUUUUUUGCUAAUGCUCUCUACCCUAAAACCCCCCCUUUUUUUAUGUAGUGCAACCACUUAUUUAUAGGCAAAACAAGUUUGUUUUUUUCAAUUGCUUGGUCUCCAAGCAUACUUAGUGACCAAGUUAACCCAAAAAUAAUUUAGUCCCUCAAUUCUUUCUUUUCACAUUUGGUCCCUUUGUUCAAUUUGAUUUUUCUUUUUUUGUAUUUUGAAUUUUUUUGAAAAAGAGCAAUAUCAAUGUUGACUUAAUAAGCGCAUUAACAACUGAAUGUGUUGAACAUAGAUUUUUGUAUUUUAAAUUCUUUGAAAAAGAUGUUGAAAAUGACGCAAAGACAUUAAAAACAAAUUUUUUUUGGGUUUUUUUUAAAUCUUUUAAAAUGGAGUAAAAAUAUUAAACAGAUGCCUCCUCUUUACAAUACUUAUGGAACAAAGACUUGUUAAGUUCUUGACUAACAAACUGUUCUUCUCAAAGCUUUUAGUUCGGUUGACCUGAAACUUUGUUUUCGCAGCAAUCCCCAUCAACGGAAACUACGAUCAAACUGUGUACAACUUGGUUAUCUUGAAAUCCCAAUCUAGUGAUUUUCUUAAUCCAAAACCAAAAUCAUUGCCAAAAGUUUGAUCAAUCUGAGAUCCCAAGUUGGCGAUCCGCUUUAACUAGAACUAAAAUAUGAAAAAUAGCUCGGUUAACCUGAAAUCCCAAUCUGGCGAUUCACUUUAACCAGAACCUUGGUCUUUGUUGUUAAGUUGAUCAACUUAAAAUCCCAAUACGACGAUUCUCUUUAAUAAGAACCAAAAUGUCGCCUUUAGCUUAGUUAAUCUGAAAUCUCAAUCUAAAGACCCCCUUUAACCAAAACCUUGGUCUUUUUCUUUAGCUCGAUCAACUUGAGAUCCCAAUCUAGUGAUUUCCUUUAACCAAAACCAAAAUGUCACCUUCAGCUUGGUUAACCUGAAAUCUCAAUCUACAGAUCCCCUUUAAUCAGAACCUUGAUUUUUGUCUUUAGCUCACUCAACUUGAGAUCCUAAUCUGGCUAUUCCCUUUAACUAGAACCAAAAUGUCACCUUCAGCUUGGUUAACCUGAAAUCUUAAUCUAGAGACCCCCUUUAACCAGAACCUUGGUCUUUGUCUUCAGCUUGGCCAACCUGAAAUCCCAAUUUGAUGAUUCCUUUUAACCAGAACUAAAAUGUUGUCUUAAGCUUGGUUAACCUAAAAUCUCAAUAUAGAGACCCCCUUUAAUUAGAACCUUGAUCUGUUUUUAGCUUGAUCAACCUGAGAUCCCAAUCCGGCAAUCCUAUUUAACUAGAACCAAAAUGUUUCUUUCAGUUUGGUUAACCUGAAAUCUCAAUCUAGUGACUCCCUUUAAUCAAACGAUUUCCUUUAACCAAAACCAAAAUGUUGCCUUUAACUCGGUUAACCUAAAAUCUCAAUUUAGAGACCCCUCUUUAACUAGAACCAACCAUAGGCUACUUAUAAAUCAACCUUCAACACCUAAAAACAAACCUCCACAUAACAACACUGCAAUUAUCAAUAACAACACCUAGUUCUAGCUAAAACCCUGAGCAAGAUAGCAACAACCCACAAAAAGAUAAAGCUGCUAAAUUGUUUCAACAUCUUAUCUAUAUAUGUAGAUUGAGACAAUUAAAGCAACUUUCUAGAUCUAUCCUUGUAGAUUUUUAUUUUCAGUAUAUAGACUGCUUCUCCCAUAUCCUUUCUAGGUUGCACCAGAUUCUUUUUUGUUUAAGUUUUGUUGGUUGAAAAAAAACUUUCUAAAAUUAUUAUUAUUAUUAUUAAUUUUCAUACACAAUUAUAUUUAUGAUUAUUAUAUGGUCAAUUUGUCUAUGUCAAAGAAUAGAAUCUGAGUCAACUUUUUGACCAAAAUUCCGUUCUCUAUUAUUCCUUCAAUAUUGGGGUUUAAUGCAAGCAACUUGUUUAUUCGGAUUUGAGAUGUAAAUAGAUUUUAAUUUUGUUAGGAUGAGGUGGUCAGGUUGCGUCACAUUGAUUAUGUCAUGAAGUUAACUAGAGUAAGAAAUAAAGAUAUCAAGUUUCGGAGAGAAUCAAGAUCAGUUAAAGCAAAAAAAAAACAGAUUAUGAAAAUAAAUUGGAAAGGAAAAGUUUAGUUAUAAGGAAUCAGAUUCACAAAGAAAUUUAAGUCUCAUCGAUUCUAGGAAACAAGUUGGAAGGAAUCAAUUUUACAAUAAUUGAACUUGGCACUAGAGAGAACCUUCGUGCCACUAAGUACUGAAUCGUUAUUCAAAUGUACUGAAGGCCAUUUGUUUGCCAUUUGUGCUAAUUAAGAACAUAAUUCUAUUCUUUUGUGAGUUAAUAUUCUGUAAAAUAAGCUUGGAAUAGCUUGCGGGGGCUUGGCUCAGAGAUCAUUGAGUUUUCACUACAAAUUGCCUUCUAAUGAUUAAACUGAGAUUUUUCUGAUUAGAGAACAGAAGGAAUCUUCUUUCAUAAUUGGCUUUUGCGAAGGUUUAGUGUUUUUGCUACUCCUGCUUUUGGACCUGACUUGAUUCCUGACCGGUAGAAACAGCAUUAGUCCAAAAGCAGGGAAGCUUUUGUUUUCUUGAAUCACAUGAUCUGAUAUUAUCAUUUAUGCCCAACACAAAUUCAUAAAAGUGGCUCUAAUGAUUGGCUGACAACAGUUGUUAAUGAGCAGUGUUAUUUUUCAGUUUACUAAGUAUUUAGAACAUUCAAUUCCAAUCCAAAGUCGAUAAUAAUAAACUCUUGGUGAUAGUUUUGUCAUCGAUGGUGAUCGGACGACAAAAAAACUAGAAUGAAUGGAGAUACCGUUAUUUUAUCACUGUAAAAAUAUGGAGUUGGUUUUUAAUGGGUCACGAGUCACAAAGACGAAAACAAGCUUCGCCAUAGAGAAGAAUACACAACUACUAGUCUACUAAUGACUUAAUAGUCUAUGUUUUCCCGAUGGACAUGCCUCGAACAUAUCAAGGUUAGUUAAUUUGCAGGAAUGCAGAUUGUAUGGAAUGAAGAGUCAUGACUGCCAUGUGUUCAUGCAAACACUCAUUCCAUUAGCUUAUCGUGAUUUAUUGCAAAAGGCAAUGAGAUGCACUCACGCAGAUCAUCAUUUCUUUAGACAUAUAUGCGCCAACAAGUUGCACACACAUCACAUUGAGAGGCUUGAAACGAAUAUCGUCGAGAUAAUAUGCAAACUUGAGAUGAUAUUCCCUCCAUUAUUUUUUGAUUCGAUGGAGCAUCUACCCAUACAUUUACCGUACGAGGCAAAAGUUGGAGGCCCAAUCCAGUAUAAAUGGAUGUAUUUAUUUGAGAGGUUAGAUAUUAUAGAUGCAACGUAAUGAUUAAUGUAUUUUCAUUUUUUUUAUUAAUUGAAAAUAUUUAUUUAAUUCAAUGUAGGUACUUGUUUAAUCUUAAGAAAAAAGGUUAAGAACAAGGCAUAUGUAGAGGCUUCGAUAUGUGAGGCCUAUAUUAUUGAGGAGAUCUCAACAUUUAUCUCGUACUAUUUCGAGCCUCAUUUGAGAACGGGAAUCAACCACAUUCCACGACAUAAUGAUGGUGGUGAAGUGCCUUCAAGUGGGAACUUGUCAAUAUUCUCCAAUCUUAGAUGACCCACACCUAAAAAUGUUGUACGGAGAAGUUAUUUUUCUGAAAUAGAGUUCCAAUAAACACACAAUUAUAUGCUAUUUAAUUGCGAUGAAUUGAGACCUUUUAUUCAGUAAGUAUAUAUACUACUUAAACUUNNNNNNNNNNNNNNNNNNNNNNNNNNNNNNNNNNNNNNNNNNNNNNNNNNNNNNNNNNNNNNNNNNNNNNNNNNNNNNNNNNNNNNNNNNNNNNNNNNNNCAAGAGCCGGCGGCCACCAGUUAUGAAGGUUCCCUAUGCUCAUCCCACAUAUUACUAUGUUCCUGCAACAGAAGUUAUCGACAGCAACGAGGCAGCUCAACGCUACAAGGGGAGGGUUUAUGUCGAUUAUCCUAAGGGGAAACCAGUUCCGUUUUAAAGACCUAGUGAUUAAUCACUUAGCUUUCUUGUAUGCAUAACCUCCUCCAGUUGUGUUACCUUUAGUCCUGUACGAUAUUCUCCCUCUGCUAAACGUAGACGAGGAGAGGUUGCUAGAACUCGAGUCAGGAGCUUCUUCUUACUUCUUCAAAUAAACUUUCUGUGAUUUAUAUAUCAUUUUCUAUUUGUAUGUAUUGUCAUAAUUAUCUUUCUUACUUCCUCAUUAUCACCUCAUACUUAGCAUGGAAUUGAAAGAUACACAAGUAAUAUGCUCUUGAAAUGCUUUGAAGCUCUUCAAGGUGUGAUUUCACCGACUAAGUUUGGAACUGUACAGAGCUCAAUGAUGAGCCGUGGGAGGCGUCUCUGAUUGUUGCACUGUAAGCAUGAGUGUACGUAUGAAUAUAACCAGCAGAUCCGCAAACCACAAGUGAUGACAAGCUUCUUAACACUACUACAGUUAACAGUUUUACUGACUGAUUUACGGACGGAAACAGUCCGUCGGUAAAUUCCUCUCGUCAGUAAUUUCAUUAAUGUCGG
rnacentral:lncRNA from 1 species